CCCAAAAACCUCAACCAAGGCACUAUCCAACUCCCCUUUAACCUUGGAAACCUCAAGGAUGGUUGUCUCCAACUGUUCCUUAGUCGUUUCCAAUUGUUUCUUGAGCCUCACGUUCUCACCAUUCCGCCUUUUCAAACUCUCAAAGUUUUCAUCCUUAAGGCGGAUGGCAUCAGCCAAAGCUUUGCUCAUUUUUUUGGUGUCAUUCACAAGCUGCUUAUUCUCUUUAAACUUUACCUUGUACCGCUCGACCUCUCGUAAUCUGUCAUUGUACUCGGUCAUGACCUACAUGACAAGAUGAUUGUCACUACCAAGAAAAAGAGGGGAGAAAGCAAAGAAAUGACAGAGUAACACUUACAUAAGAAGAUAGCCUUAUCAUCCGGUCACGAUCUGAUUCGUUCUCAUCUAGCGGCUCACCAAGCUCAUUAACAGUGGAUCGACGUCCUGCCAGGCAAUUAUUGACAUACCUAAAACUACUUGGCUGUAUGGCAACUUUCAAGUUCUUCCAAUAAAUGUUGCCAACCUCUUCCUUGUACUUUCUUUUAUGGCUAGAGCUAGGGCCACCUUCUUGGUCAGUAGACUCCAUGGUUGGAGAAAAUAUGGGAUUGAUGGUAAAAAGAGGAGGCAACAAUCGUCUUUCCUCCUAUACAACUAUGGCAGCAGCACACCCGAUGGCCUCAGCUUCAGCCUUUCUUGAGGCAGCAAUCUUGAGGACCUUCUCUUGUGACUUAGGUUUAGGGGUUGGCCUCACCCGAUGCUUACGAGCUCUCUUGUGAAACAAAAUGUCGUCUACGGGAACUAACAUGGGUGCUUUCUCUUUAUUGGCACUAGUCUCCCCUUUCUUGCCCACUUUCUCCACUGAACAAGAAAAAUUAAAGUAAGGAAUGCAACUUUGUAAAAGAAAGAGGGGACGAAAUGAAAGACACAACUUACUUGCUCGUCUCUGGCACUCCGACACUAGGGGUUGGAAACUAUACUUUCGAAAUAAGGGUCGUAGCUUGCCCAAAUGUCUAUCCUCUUUAGGCACCCUCAACAUCUUCUCUACGUCAGCUAGCUUCCGUCCGGACAGCUUGAUGGUUUCUCGCGUCACUGCACGGAGAAAAAUGUUAGAAGCAAGAGAAAAUCACAACAAAUAGCAAAUAAUGCAAACAAGGGAUACAUUACAACCUACAGUCUGGAAGUGAGUAGGAACACGUCGCUCAGGCGUUACACCUUUAGCAUACUCCCAAUCAUUUUAAAGAAAGCACCAACAGUUUUUCCAAGUGCAAUACACAUUUUUCUUACCAAAGACAAUACGCUCUCUCUCACUCCAACAUGCACACUCGGUAUACCUAGUGCAUGCUUUCACCGGGCGCAUCUUAUAGCAGUAGCGCCACUGAUGAAAGGAAGGCUCACCUAACCCACAUUCCAUCCAAAUAAUAUAAAACCCGAUCAAGGUAUCCCAAAAACCAGGGUAGAGUUGGCUAGACGCAUAUCCAAUGAAAGACAACAUCUGUUGCAACCACGGGUGCAAAGGCAGCUUCACCCCUAAAAUCAAUAAUAUCUGGGUAUAGAACAUAACAUGACCUUUGGGCGGUUUAUAGGACAAUUCUUCAUGAUGCACCAAACGCAUUCCUACACUACGGGGGAUACAACAUGACUGCCUUAGGGCCUCAAGCUGUUUUUCGCUAUCUAACAAGUUUUGCACUAAAUGGUCUGCUGUGAACUCAAAGCGAAAUAUGGGUAUGGCGUCACAAACAACCCCCUCACCCAAUCUCGAAUUUUUUUUGUACAAGACUUCAACAAAGGCCCUGAAGACUCCAACAUUGCAAGCUCAAACCUAGAGUUAGAGUUAGGGGAGCCCUCAUCACUAGGACUUCCAAACUCUGAUAUCUACAACAAACAAAAACAAACUUUAUCACUGCAUGAAAGAUCAAAACAUAAGGAAGUUCCUAGGGCAUGAAAAAAAACUCAAUCAGUUCAUUAUGUUCUCAACCAAAUACAUGAACACUCAAACAAUUCAACAAGAAUGAAAGUAUGCGAUCUAGUAGAGAAGACCACCAACCUGAAGAUAGUGCAAAGUAAUGCCGGAAUCUCUGGAAUCUCUCACAACUAUAAAAGCACUCUGUCUCCAAAAAUCACUACAAAAUGAGCAAAUGAAGACAAUGAAAAGAGUGUAAACUUAUCAUUCUUAUAGGGUUCAACAUGGUCAAAUAAAUUCAAAAUUCAAAAUUCAAACCAUGAGAAAACCCCACAUGGAAAGUCUUCAAACUUCCACACAAUCUAGGGAGUUUUCAAAUUUCAAACUUGCAGCACCCCCUCCCCCUCUCAAGAAAAAUGGGGGGGGGGAGGGGGUGGGAGGAGGUGAACACAUUAGAUUCAUCAAAGGAGUUCAACCAUAAUUCUCAAAAGCUUCACACACUCUUGAUCAAGACAGUGUGAAGCAAAACCAAUUUAUGGUGCCAACAAGAGCUUUAUCAAUAGAGGGCAAUCACAAUUCUCAAAAGCUUCACACACUUUUGAUCAAGACAGUGUGAACCAAAACCAAUUUAUGGUGCCAACAAGAGCUUCAUCAAAAGAGUUCAACCACAAUUCUUAAAAGCUUCACAAACUCUUGAUCAAGACAGUGUGAGGCAAAAAACCAAUUUAUGGUACCAACAAGAGCUUCAUCAAUGGAGGGCAACCACAAUUCUCAAAAGCUUCACACACUCUUGAUCAAGACAGUGUGAAGCAAAGUCAAUUUAUGAUGCCAACAAAAACUUCAUCAAUUGAGGGCAACUACAAUUCUCAAAAGCUUCACACACUCUUGAUCAAGACAGUGUGAAGCAAACCAAUUUAUGGUGCCAACAAGAGCUUCAUCAAAGGAGUUCAACCAUAAUUCUCAAAAGUUUCACACACUCUUGAUCAAGAUAAGCAAAACCAAUUUAUGGUGCCAACAAAAGCUUCAUCAAUGAAGGGCAACUACAACUCGUAGAAAGCUUCACACACUCUUGAUCAAGAUUGUUCGAAGCAAUUUCAAUUUAUAUGGUUCAUCCAAACCUUCGACUACUACAAGGUGUGGCUUGCAUCACAAUCUCUUACUCAAUUUUGUGGAAGUAAAAUUUGUAUAUGUUGUCUCUCCCACAUUUUCAAAUUUCUAAUUUCCCAAAAAAAAAAAGGAAAUUGGGAAAUUCAACAAAGCUUCAUCAAUGGAGGACAACUACAAAUUCUCAAAAGCUUCACACUAUCUUGAUCAAGAUAGUGUGAAGCAAAAUCAAUUCAUGGUACCCAACAAAGCUUCACCACAAAAGCUUCACCAACAAAAACUUCAUCAAUGGAGGACAACUACAAAUUCUCAAAAGUUUCACACUAUUUUGAUCAAGAUAGUGUGAAAAUCAAUUCAUGGUACCCAACAAAAGCUUCAAAUCCGAAGCUUCACCUACAAAGCUUCAACUCCAAAGCUUCGCCUACAAAAGCUUAAACACAAAAGCUUCACCCACAAAACUUCAACUCCAAAGCUUCACCUACAAAGCUUCAACACAAAAGCUUCACCCACAAUAGCUUCACCUACAAAAGCUUUACCCACAAAAGCUUCACCCACCACCAAAGCUUAAUAUAAAAUAUAUAUAUAUAUAUAUAUAUAUAUAUAUAUAAAUUUUCAGAAAUUUAAAAAUUCAAAAAUUCAAAAAUUCAAAAAUUCAAAAAUUCAAAAAUUCAAAAAAUCGAAAGAAAAAAAAAAUUGCCUAGGCCUCAUCUUCUUUGGGCCUAACAACUUUCAUAACAAAUAUAUAUGAAGGAGGAGUUUUGGGCUACCAUGUAAAAAGGAAAUGCCUCAUUCGUCAACUCCCUCGACCGGAGACUUGGGGGACUCCUACCAUAUGUUACUGCACCUUGAUACUCGGAAGUCUCACGACCACUUAGUGACUUGGAUUUUUCAAGUCUCCAAUCGAGAAGUUUUCCUCACUCGGGAAAUUAAGGGAGCACUACCUCAACAUACAUGCUUCACUCACAAAGCUUCAACAUAUAAGUUUCAACAAAAGAAAAAAAUUCAAAGAACUUAGUGAAGAAGACUUUGGUGUAUUUAACACAAUACGUUGAAAUGAAGCAAAACUUAUUUAUUAACAUCUCCGAUAAGUUACAAAUAUGUACAUAUACAUGAGUCAAAAUAAACAAACAAGAGAGAACUUUCAUAAAGGUUGCUCAUGAAAAGUCUCAGCAGUCGGCAGAGCCCUAGAAAGAUAAGGCAUCAGAGGGUGAUCAUUCAGAGCCUUAGUACUGGACAGAACCCCAGAAUGAGGAGGCAUCGGAGGUUGAUCAUUUGGAGCUUCAUUACGCGGUACAACCCUAGAAGAUGAAGGCAAUAAAUGCCUUUGGAACAAACCCACAAACCUCUGAUGAUCAAAUAAAAUCUGACCAUUAGAUUCAUGCAUCUGGUCAAACUUACUUUUCAUGUUUGUAGCAUAGUCAUGUGCGAGCAUGUGCAACUGUUUAUUCUUAUGCUUGAGCCCUCUAAUCUCCUGUUUGAGACUUAUCACUUUAGCCGCCAAUGAUUCAACUUGGCGGGUUCGAGCAAAUAAAUGUUGGGCCAUAUUAGACACAGAACCUGUACACUGAACAUUAAGAGCCAGAUAAUCCUUAAUAACCAACUCAUCAGACCGUUUGGAAAGUAGUCUGUUAUCUUUAGGAGUGAGAAGGUUCCUGGACACCACCGCAGUGGUCAUAUCAUUCUUCAUCACAGAGUCCCCAACGGUAAGAGUACCAGUAGAGGAUAAGAAGGAUUGGCGCCAUAUGUUGUCUUGAGAAGGCAUGGCUACCUCUACACCAAAGUUCAAGUCAAAAUGACGGUUGGAUGGGCCAAACAUUUUCAGAAAUGAUGAAGGAGAAAUGAGGUCCAAUAAAUCUCUAAAGUACGAAAAUAAAGGGAAAAUUCUUACAAGCAAUAACUCUCUAAACGUACUUCUUACACACAAUUGGUGCCCUUAUAAAAGAAAAGGCAACAUGGCCGUUUGUUCAAAAAUCGAAGAGGCAACACUCUCCGGAUUUCGAGAAGCAGAUUUUCUUGAGUAAAAUAUGUCGACAAUUCCCACACGCAACAUCAGCACCUCAGGUACUGCAGAUAACUUUACCAAAGAUCUCUGACAAAGUUUAGACACAUAAAUUUUGAAGGUCCAGCUACCCUACCAUUACCCACAAGGGUAAAGAAACAUCACCACUACUUGAUAACUGGAAAGUCCUUGUGUGUGCCAACCUCCGUGCUCCGUGGCAAGACCGACUGGCAAAAAUGCCCAACCUUUACUCACAUCGAGAAAACACUCCCAGUAGGAUUACUUGCUCAAAAAUCGAAGAAGCAUUGCUCCCCGAAUCUCGAGAGCCAAACUCCCACCAAGAUGGCUUCCUAAAAAAUCGGAGAGGCACCACUAACUGACUAUCGAGAGCCAGACUCACAACAGGAUUGUUUUCCCAAAAAUCGAAGAGGCACCGCUCUCCAAAUCUCGAGAGCCUGACUCCCAACAGGAUUGCUUUCUUAAAAAUUGAAGAGGCACCGUUCUCCGAAUCUCGAGAAUCAGAUCCCCGACAAGAUUGCUUGUUCGAAAACCGAAGAGGCACUGCUCUCCAAACUUCGAGAGCCAGAUUUCCUUGGAUAAAGCUUAUCUGCAAUCGUCACAAGCAACAUCGGCUUUCCAGAUACUACAGACCACUUUUUCGAAGUGCUCUGAAAAAGUUAAAACACGUGAAUCUUGCAACUCCCACUACAUUGCUAUGACUGAGAAGGGUAAAGGAAUAGCGUUACUACUAGCUAUUGGGACAAUUUCUAUAUAUGUCGACCUCCAUCCUCCACAACCAGGCAUACCUGUAAAUAAAAAAAAAUGCUCAACUUUUAUUCACAUCCAAGAAGGCACUCCCAAUAGAGUCUCUCGAAAUACUCAGCUUCUUCCCCCUCCCCCCCCCCGGCGAUAAUACUUAUGCAAACAAGUCACACCAAAGUAAGAGUAUCUCAUAUCAUGAGGGUUAAAAGAAAAAGUAUCUCAUAUCGUGCUUUUUCCCUGUAUUUUCCUUUGCCCUUACUCUUACCUGCAGGACAAAGAGAAAAAACAUAAUCAGUCAGAACCUAAAAUCAAACUUCCGAUCUGGAACUGAUUGCCCGAAAUAUUUGCAUGGUUGUUUGCCUAACAUUGCUCUCGAGUACUCAUCCUCAAUUGUUGUCAAGGUCAUAAAGUCCUUCGGCAAAUACCUCAGAACAGUUAAUAUGAUAUUGACGUUUCACACUGAAGCUGCCACGCAUGGAUGAGUUGCUGAGAAGUAGUGCUUUGAAGAACCAUUUAAAUGCAAAGGUUGAAUUCCAUUCCUACAUCGAGGACAAAUGUUGUAAGAGAUUGAAACAUAAUGAUCAAUGAUGAGCUAGAACAUAUCACUACAACACGAUGCCCUUCCUGCAGAACCACACAACCCAGACAGAGGAGUCUAAAUCAAAUCCAAACCCAGCAUCGCUGCCCUAUCCGAAGAACUUGAGAAUCUUCAACAACCUUUUGCUGACACCAUCACCAAAUAGCAAAGCUUCGCCAUACCACACCCACUACUUUAUCAACAGCAAAAGUAUCCCAUAUCAUUAGGGUCGAACGUACUCUAGAUUUGAUGGACUUGUUUUGACCCUUAAAUUCUUAAGUCGGCCUUAUACUUUGGAGGAAACCAGAAAACCCUUCAACCCAAUUCAAGAAUAAGCUUGUGGAAAGUUACUUCUUCAAAAGUAAAAGUAUCUCAUAUCAUAUCUUCUCCAUUUGCUUCUCCUUAUCCAUGUUGCUGUUUACGACACAAUGAGAAGGAGAACAAUCAACCGGAAGCCGAAGUCGAACCUCUGAUCCAGGUUGCUUGCUUGGAAGUCUGAUUGCUUACCUUGUCUGUUACCUCAUUCGGCAAAUCUCCUAACUCGGCGACUUGGAUGACUCUUACUAUAAGGUUUGUAUCGCACUUGACCAAGCCAGAAAUUACAAGUAAGCUUCAAUUGAUACAUUACCUUGUGCAUCUUCAUCGAUUAAAGAUACCACCCUUGGAUGAAGGAAAAGUACUUCCAGAGAAGAUGCCACAUCUACAUAUAAGACAGAUAAGGCAAGUGAAAAUGAUACCACACUUCGGUACUUAGAAGUUUUGUGAUUACUUAAUGGCUUGGAUCUUGCAAGUCCCCAAUCGAGAAGCUUCCCUCACUCGGGAACUUAAAGGAGCACUGUUUGUACCAUACUUGACCAACCCCGAAACUACUAAGCACCGGUCAACAUUAUACCACCAAGGACCCACAAGAGUCUCCCUCCAACCAGGAGACCAAUCAGCGACACAUGUCAACAUCAGAGACCAAUCAUAACGCGACACGUGUCGAUAUCAGAGGUCAAUCACAACACGACACGUGUCAAUGUCAGAAUGAAACUAGAAACUCACUUCUAUAAAUAGAGAUCAUUCUCUCACAAUAUUUUCUAAUGUUAUUUGUACUAAAUCAUUCGCUAGUACUCACUAAAGGAGAGCUUGAACCUAUGUACUUGUGUAAACCCUUCACAAUUAAUGAGAACUCCUCUACUCCGUGGACGUAGCCAAUCUGGGUGAACCAUGUACAUCUUGUGUUUGCUUCCUUGUCUCUAUCCAUUUGCAUACUUAUCGACAUUAGUGACCGGAGCAAUCUAGCGAAGGUCACAAACUUAACACUUUCUGUUGUACCAAAGUCCUCACUGAUUUUGUGCAUCAACAUGACUCAUUUUGAUGGAAUUCUGAUGUUGAUGAAAAAGACCAUAUAUGCAUGUUUUGACUAGUUAAGAGACUAAUGGUCAUGGCAAGUGGCCUUUUACCACAAUGGUGGAAAGGUGUUGAGCCUUUCCAUAGCAGCAUUGGUUCAAAUCUUGUUCGGUGUCCAACAUCCUAAUCUAACAAAUCUAUCAUUUGACAAUAAAAAAGAGACUACUGGUCAUGAAUUUUUAGAACAUCUCUAAAGAAGAUGUCAAAUUUGAAACAUCAAAUUGAUAUUUGAUGGCUUAUGUGGCGAAUUGACAUUUUGUACAAUUUUUUUAUUCACUCGAUAUGUUAAAUGAUAAUUCCAUUCUAAAUUUUUUUUUAUCACUUUGUAGGGUCCAUUUAUUGAGGCAACCAAUCUAAUUCUUAGAAUACACAACAACAUUUAUUAUAUGCAUUAAAUGUAAUAAAAAAAAAUACUAAAUGCAUUUGACAGUAGAAGACUUUGCCUUCAAUUGACUCAACGCCAUGUAGGAAAUUGAAGGCUCAGUUGGAGAGAGUGUGCUGCCAAUUUUUACUAUUAUAUACUUAUACGACAGUUUUGACAUCUCCUUUAGCGAUACUCUUAGUUGAAGAAUCAUUACUCCAUUGAGUUAAAGUUGAUGAACUAUUUCUACAAUUUUCUCGGAUUUCAUUUGUUGUAGAAGAGAUCUAAUGUAAGUUCCAGCUAUGUGAUGGUUAGCCGUCCAUAUACACAUAGCGACACUGUGAAAGUGAUAGUGUAAAGGGAUUACAUUUGAGAGAAACUCUAAUUUGUGGAACAUUGAAUUUGUGAAACAUCAAAAGCUUGAGAGAAACUAUUUUUUUAAUUAUAAUUAAGAUAAAUAAAAUAUAUCAAAUUAAAACUUUAAAUAGUCCUGGAAAACCCUUGAAAGAAAAACAAAACAAGACAUUACAAAAAAAUUGAAAAUUAAUUUUAAGACUUAAAAGGUGUUUUUAACCUAGGAAAUUUUUGAAACAAAUUGAUCCUAUUUUGCAACGACGAGUUGGACUCAUCUCUUUUUUUCCUGUUCAGAAAGGUAUUUUGAACCAUCACUGAAACACUAUUUACACUAAAAUUCACCUUUUUGAUAUGCUCGUUCAGCCUUACAUCAUACACAAGUAAUAUUUAGUCAUUAAAACCUACAUAGUCUAUAUUUUAUCAACCAUCACGCGUGAAUGACUGAGCUUUACAAAAUCAUGCACAAAUAGAGACCAUUUUUUAAGUAUAAUUGGUUUGUGUCCCUCCAUUCUUGGAGGGUGGGGAGGGUUAUGCAUUUGCUGGUUAUUUUAUGUUGGGGGAUAGAAACCCAAUUGGGGUUCACUUUCUUUUGGGAUUUGGACAAAUGCAGACGGGGGCCUCAUGUUAUGUUCUCAAACAGGAAAGGGGUGAUUCAAGUGGUCCCAUUUGGCACUUGCUGUAUAAAAAUAAGAUGCUGGGGAGAGAUGGACUGAUGGAAGGGAAAGCUGAAUCUUUGUGUAAUCAGAUCUCAAACCUACGAGUUUUCAUUAAAGGGAGGGCUCUAUGUCCUUGCAUGUGGACCAGGACAAGGUGAUGUAAUUUGUCUAUAAAUGAUGAAACAGUCGAGUUGUGGGAAAUAUGUAGAUCGAUUGACAUGAAACCUUUUUAUCUUGUCCAAACAGUCAUCAAAUUCUAAUAUGUUGAAAAGCUGUGUGGAGAAUGGAUAUAAUUAGAUGACUAGAUUUCUUCAUAAGUAAUCCAUUUACGUACCUUAGUUAGUGGGGUGUAUAUUGUUUUUCUGCUUCUUCAUAAUCCCAAAUGAUCGUAUAACUAAUAUGGUCAUUGUUUGUACCAUACUUGACCAAUCCCGAAACUACUGAUCACGGGUCAACAUUAUACCGUCAAGGACCCAGAAGAGUUUCCCUCCAACCAGGAGGCCAAUCACAGUGCGACACGUGUCGACAUCAGAAGUCAAUCACAGCGCGACAUGUGUCAACAUCAGAAGCUAAAUGAAACUAGAAACUUUCUUCUAUAAAUAGAGAUCAUUCUCUCACAAUAUUCCUAAUGUCAUUUGUACUAAAUCAUUCACUUGUACUCACUAAAGGAGAGCUUGAACCUAUGUACUUGUGUAAACCCUACACAAUUAAUGAGAAUCUCCUCUACUCCGUGGAUAUAGUCAAUCUGGGUGAACCAUGUACAUAUUGUGUUUGCUUCCCUGUCUCUAUCCAUUUACAUACUUAUCCACACUAGUGACCGGAACAAUCUAGCGAAUGUCACAAACUUAACACUUUGUUAUACCAAAGUCCUCAUUGAUUUUGUGCAUCAACAGUUAUGAUAAGCCAAUGUUCUUUGAUCACAAACUGUUGAGAUGUGAGUGAUUAUGUGUUGACUGGUAGCCAACAAAAUACACUAAGAUAUUAUGAUACAUUUAUCGACAAUAUAGGUACUCUUUAUCAACAAAAUAUGACAUCCUGCACUAUAUGUACAAGACUAACCAUGACUCAUAAAUCCUAAAGCUACAAAGCAAGGCGCACCUCUUCAUGUGGAAACUUGGCAUACCAAUUCAUCCAAAUUACAAUAUGUAGUAUCGUUGAGUCUAUAUGUUGUAAUGUAAGUGAAUUGGUGAUAUAACGUGAUAUUAUUACUGUCAUACUAAAUUUUAUUAACAAAAAUUAAGAAUAUUGUUUUGUCCAAUCAUAACUAUUUUUGUUGACGUUUGCAUGGCACAACCAAAAUCGUAUGUCACGUUGCACUUAUUCUCUAAAGCAAACCUAACUCACUUUAAACUCCUACUGCACUCUCCACGUAUAUUUCAAGUACUUUUUAAGAAGUUAUUUGUAUCAUAUAGAAAACCUUACUCAGAUCGCUACAAUUAGAAGAAAUUAUUAGGUAGUAUAUAUAGGGGUGUGAUAUCCACACAUCUUUUUUUACUUCUCACACACCCUUCUAAUUUUUGGCCGUCGGAUCGGAUAAAAUGAAGAAGAUCAACGAACAUAAAUUAACAAGGGGUGUGUGAGAAGUAAAAAAGGGUGUGUGGAUAGCACUAUCCACACAUCCCUUUUUACCACACAUCCUUUUUUACUUCUCACACACCCUUUGAUAAUUUAUGUCCGUUGAUCUUCUUCAAUUCAUCCGAUCCAACUGUCGAAAAUUAAAAAAGUGUGUAAAAAGUAAAAUGGGAUGUGUGGAUAUCACACCCCUAUAUAUAUUUAUUUGAUGGUCUGAUGGAUGAUGGAUCUCUGUUCGCAAGAGUAAUAAUUCUUCACAAGUUCGCAUCAGAAACAUUGUUAUCAUGUCCUUUAUCUAGUUGUCAUCAUCAUAAGUUAAGGAAAUACCAAAGUAUAUUAGCUUUAGAUACGUUUAACAAAACUAUUCUCUUUUUGGUUUAUAUAUAACCGCCCAACAGUACGUAUUAUUAUCUUCGAAUAUCAUGUGUACGCGUACAUUAGAAAAAUAAAAAGUAAAACAAUUGUUUCUCACAACGGAAAUUCCUAUUGAGUAGUUCGAUAUGUUUGCUCGUAUUAGCAAUAUUAUUUGUUAUCUGGAAAUAGUUGAUGAACCAUUAAGUUCAAUUGAAAAAAAAAAAGUAGGAAGAAUUAAUAGUGGGUUUUACAAAUAUGUUUUCAAUUAAUCAUGAACAGAAACUCAACCAGUAAAAGAAGGAAUGAGUAGAGGAGACUGAUUGUGCCAAAUGAUCCUCCUACUCCAAGCUGCACUGGUUUGUGUGCGUACUCUUAUGAAUUGCAGACUUGCAGAGAGUUGUCCAGCUGCUCUGGCGUAUAUACGUACUUCAAGCUUCACUUACACCAUGUAUGGUAGAGAAUCCCACCACAAAGAAAGAUCACACAACACAAAAAAGGGAUCAUCAAUCAUGAUUGCUUAGAUGAUAGAGUGCCGUGUACAUCAUAAGAUAUAGUUUUCUUUUCGUCCUUUGUGCGGUUACAAACUUACGAGUUUUCGUACUCGAAUUUCAUGUAUUUAUUAAAUUUUCAAGACAAAAGUAGAGCCUUGUACACUGAAUUUGCAAUUAACAAGUCAUUAAGGUGAUCUUUAGACAUGCAGAGGUAAACUUAGCGUCGAAUUUAAGCUAUGUUUUAGCUCUUCAAAAAUUAGAUUUUGUAAAGAAUAGUUCAUGUCGUCUUCAUCUCCAACAUUGGAUGGCUAUAUUUCAAACCCCUUAAUAUAUGUUAUAUUGUAGUGCUAAGUAAAAAUUAUGAUACAACACAUUAUAGAAAUAUAAAUCAAUUUUAAGGAAAUAUGAGGGAGGCUUGUAGGCUAUGACUCACUAAUCAUGAUGCGGGAGCCAAGGCUUUAAAAAAUUAAAAAAAAAUUGAAAACUUCUCGUUGGCAUUGGAAAUUCAAAUAAUAAAGGCAUUGUAAUUUAUUUUAAUGACAUAGGAACUUGUUAAGUCAUUUCUAGAGAGUUUUUUAGGAAGUUGUGGUCUAUUUAUGCUUCUUUAUCUUUAGUUCCUUUAAAUAUUGAUGUAUUAGAAGCCAUUGCUAGACUUGAAUGAAUUAAAAUAUAUUUUGCUUUGUGCAAUUGAAGUGAGUGAUUUCUCCUUCCCCAAUCAAGCAUUUGGCUUGGUCAUCCAUGAUUAACGACGUGAGAUAGCUCCGUUGCCCCUGGUUGAGCGAAUCCCAGGUUAUCUAUUCCCUUCUCCUCGAUACCCUUGGUUCUGUCCUGCAUCAAAUGGCAUUAGAGCAGGUUUUCCGCUGCAGUUGAAAAUCAUGGCUAUGAUUAUCAAUCCGUUUCAAGAUCACAUCGUUGAAGAGAUUAGUUUCAUCGAUUGGAAUUCACCACCAAUUUAUGAUGAAUACGUUGAUGAAGACGAAGUCAAAAAUCAUUUUGUGAAUGAAGUUAAUGACAUCGAGCCUUCCAUGCAUCAAAUGGUAAUCUGUUACUGCUAUUCAUCUUUUGGAUGCUACAAGGAUCUUCAAAGUACUCCAAGCAUGAUGCAAAUGGAGAUGCUUCAGACCUACAAGGAAUGGAUGAUGGCAAGGUGCUACUGAUGUCCCAAAUGAAUUUUGAAAAGAAUUUCAGACAGUCUACAAUUUUUGUGACUUCAACAUGGAUGGAACAAGGCGAUGUCCCUCCUUCCUCAAGCCCAGCAAUGAUGCUUAAAGAGGCCACUCAUGUGAUAAGUUGCGGUUAUGAAGACAAAACUGAAUGGGGUUUAAAGAUAGGUUGGAUUUACAAAUUUAUCAUAGAGAGCAUUCUAAGGGGUUUCAAGAUGCAUUCUAGUGUGGUUGGAGGUCAUUUUCAAUCAAAAAGAAGGAACCAGGGCCUACAACGUUUGAAAGAAUGGGGAAAUGGUAUUUUCAUGAAUAUUUUGUGGCUUGGAACACUUUGAUCGCCGUGAACUUCAUUUUACUAUUGUGGUUGUUGUGGAAGAAUCUGCAAGGUCAUCCCAAAGAUCGAGGAAGACCAAAUGGAACUUGAGGACGAGUUUUCUUCGAGAAUGGGAGAAUGAUGCGGGAGCCAAGGCUUAAAAAAACAAAAAAAUAAACACAAAUUGAAAACUUCUCGUUGGCAUCGGAAAUUCAAAUAAUAAAGGCAUUGUAAUUUAUUUUAAUGACAUAGGAACUUGUUAAGUCAUUUUUAGAGAGUUUUUUAGGAAGUUGUGGUCUAUUUAUACUUCUUUAUCUUUAGUUCCUUUAAAUAUUGAUGUAUUAGAAGCCAUUGCUAGACUUGAAUGAAUUAAAAUAUAUUUUGCUUUGUGCAAUUGAAUUGAGUGAUUUCUCCUGCCCCAAUUAAGCAUUUGGCUUGGUCGUAUGAGUGAAUCCACGAUUAGCGACGUGAGCUAGCUUCGUUGCCCCUAGUUGACGAAUCUCAGGUUAUCUAUUCCCCUCUCCUCGAUACCCAUGGUUCUGUCCUGUAUCAAAUCAAGUGCGAGAUUUCUCCUCUAGAUCAUUGAUUAAGGAGUUCAUAUUUCUCUGAGCUUAUCAUUUAUAAGAAAGAGAUGUUGUAACAAAGUAUCCUAAAAUGAAAUCCUUGGUACCGAAAUGAUUAGUCACUUCUUCAUUCAGUACAGUUUUUUUUUCUUUUCUUUUUUUUUUUUUGCUUCAAAAGGGAUCAUGGCUUCGCCACGGUAAUCUACCUUUUUGAAGGCCAGAAAGACUCACAAAGGCAUUUCAGCCUCUCUGGCCCAUCGUGCUAUUCACAAGUGCAAGGAAUUGAACCCAAGAGAUACCGUGUGAAAUACAUAUCUUAAAUUUAUCCCCAACCACUAGACCACCCUGUGGUGGUAUCAUUCAGUAUAGUUAAUUUGAUAUUUAAUUGAUAUUUCCAACUCAUUUAGUUAUAUACUUUAGUUUAGAUUAAAUUUCCAAACCACGUAGUUCUUUUCCCAAUUGACUUGAUCUGGUCACGGAUUAGUAAUAGAACUUUGAAAUUAUUGAUAAUUAUGUGACAGAGAAAAUCCUUAAAACAGCCCGCCAGAAGAUAAGUGCUAGUUAAUAGAGGUAGGAGCAAACAUUCAUGAAAUGAAAUGUCAGGUUCAUCAGUCUUCUCCCCCACUAUAACUAAUUGAGCUGUAUGUUGAUUAAUUAAGAAGAAUCAAGUAGUUAGGCCCUUCCAUCAUCUUCACCUACUACUAUAAGUUCCAACAAUUAUAAUACUAAUCUAAUUGGGCCAACAGAAAAUUAAUGUAACACCUCAUUCACAACGUACCAUAACUAAUUUAAUGUGAUAUUCUGCAUCCAAUAGGAAGUUUUCAAAUUGAAAUCCAACUUGCUUUAUAUGUAUAGGGUGAAAACGUCAAACAUGUUUGGUGGGUUUUAAGUCAGAUUUGGGUAUUUUAAGUUGGGUUAGAAGGUUUAUUAGUUUUCAGCCAUUAGAUUAAUGCAACGGGCGCGUAGAGUGGUUAGUUUUCUAUUACAUUUUUAACUAGUUAGCGCUUGAACACUCUUGCAUAAUACGUAACAAAUAUAAUGUUUGGUUCAAUAUCGAGGUUGAGGAUGAGAAUUAUAAAUUUUCCAGUUUGAGAUAUAUGGUAUUCGAAUUAAAAGUUUUCUAUCAGAAUUAAAACCAGAUCAAGGAAACAAGAAUAUAGUUGAUAGCCAACUAGGUUAAGUUGGGCAGUUUUGUGUCUUAGAAGAAACGCCGACUCUCGUUCACAUCCAUAUUGAGUUAAGAAAUUAAAGUACAAAAUGCCUAUGAGUCGAACAAAGGAACGUUGAUCUUGGGAAAUUUACAACAGGACGAGAACCUGAAAUCAUCAUUUCAAAUGUGUAGGUUGUUAUAUAUGUGCAUCACAUGACCUCUAUGAUAGCAGUGUUUAUCUAGGAUGCGUGAGAGUGUGCAACGGGCUAGGGCAGCUUGACCAUGCCCAGUUUAAUGUCAACCUAGCACAACACAUCAUGAUUUUUUGAGGACUAGGGCAAGCAUGGGACACGCCAUGGCGUGAGACACGAUUUUCGUUGCACGUCUCUGACGCGGGCACGAGCUCAUUGUGAGCUGGACUCGUGCGAAACCCUACCUACCUCCAAACUACAUGCAACUAAAACGUAGUUUGAAUUAUAUGAUAUCCAAAAUAUCAGAUUUAUAGGUUUACCCUCCCUAUAGCUGGAUGACAUCCCGACUACGGGAGAGGCAAGAAUUCAUUCCAGGGAUUUCAAGUAAUUGACCGUGUCAAGGAAGAGUUGGAGAAUAUUUGCCCCGGUGUAGUGUCAUGUGUGGACAUUCUCGUGGUGGCUGCGAUAGACGCCGUUCUGAUAUUCACUCUUAAAAUAAUUAGUUCUCCGCUUCAACUUUAUUUUACUUUACUUUCCACACACCAUUUCUGGCUUCGUCACUGUUUGGACCUGAUUUUACACAUCGGCCUAAGCAAUCGAGGCCGUUGAGUAAGCAUGGUUCUCAACCGUUGGAUAAGAAAGUUUAGAUAUUAUUGUUAAGAGAUAAUAUUAUGAUUUUUAAUCAUAAUAAUUAUUUUUUUUAUAAGUUAUCCCGGUUUUUUAUGCAAAAUAAAUGGGAUGGAGGCAAGUAGAGUUGUGAUGGGGACGUGAGCUUUGAAUCAUGUUGGUUUGUUUUGCUGGACAUGCAUGCAUGGGAUGUAAAGAUAAUGAAGUGAUAGGGGAUAAAUCCAAACAUGCCAAAACGUGUAAUUUGCAAAAGAAUUGUGCAAUAUGGAGAUUCUAUCCUAAUGCAUGGUUUUUUGGGUUUGGUUUUGUGCACGUGGCAUGCGACAAUGGAGAUGAUGGUUUUGCAUGGUGAUGGCAAUAUGGGUUUAAAGGUUUCUCAUGUUUUUUUAAUAAGAAGCCUAGGUGGGUUAGAUCUCUAGUGAGAUGUGAUAAAGCCUAGGUAGGCUUUAUUUAUCUGAAGGAUAUGUGCGGCGUAUUUGAUACGGGAUCAGGGUCAAUUCCACAAAAUAGAGUUGCAGUUGGACUCUACAAAAUUAUUUGGCCGCGUCACACAACAUUUGCUCCUAUAAAUACAGAGAUAGUGGCAACGGAAGAAAGACCCCUGCAAAUCAAUACAAAAUUGCCCUGCGCAAAUUCUCACAACUUGUGAUUUUUCUUUUUCCUUUUUCGCUGACACAUCUUCCGUUGGCGUCAACAGCACUGUGGAAGCAACCGGUGAUAUCUUAAGUCGGCAUAGAUAGCUCUGUCACCGUAGAAUCAAUCGGUCUCGCAGUAUCUUCCGUUGGCAUCAACAGCACUGCGGCGAGAACGGUUAAUUACCUAUCCAAGUCUCGGUCGAGAAGGGUUUCUGAACCCUUAUUGGUCGAUGUCAUCUCAUCAGCCUUCUCGGCGAAGUGAGGUGUUACACGUUAUUACGUUCGGCAUAUUGAAAGCCGAAUUUGAUAUUGAACUUCGUAAGAAUAGUAACCUUGUCUUCAGGUUCGAGAGCCCAAGAGGCCGAGACGUGUUCCUUUCUCGGCCGCAAUCGCAAGACGCAGAAGUCAGCCGCGCACCCAACGCAACAUCAACAAAUUUACUCCUUGGCCGAGCUCGGCCGACGAGUUGGCACGCCCUGCAUUCACCGAAGGACGUAGUUAGCUCAUUAAUUAUUCGGCCUGCACGCCACGUAGGCUUUGUAGUUUUUAGGGUCAACAUUUUGGCACGCCCAGUGGGACCCAGUGCUAAACUACGAAGUUCACAUGAUCUAUCUCGAUCCGGCUUCAAGGGAUGAGUGUUAUCGCCUAUUAAAGGAGCAAAAACAACUUCUCGAAAGUUUGAGAAGAAUUUCUGAAAGGCAAAAGGCCGAGGGGCAAAUCUCCACUCCGGCCACAACCAAUAUUCGGCCUAAGAAAAGUGAUAAUUUGGCCGAAGAACAAAGGCCACUUGUUGUUUCGGUAGAGACUGAAAAUAUAGUAGGCCUAGAAGAAAAAAUUCAAGUCCCUAAGCUAUAUACAAAAAUUGACUUGGAAAAAGAUUCGUCAAAAGAAUGCUCUAGUGACGAACGAGGCCGAAAUAUUGGCCUAGCCCGAGAAACUACGCCAAUUGAUAUGAUUAUUGGCAAUAAAGCCGAUAUGGAGAAAUCCUGUUCGGCUAAGUUAUUUGAAUUAAAAGCCGAAAUUAUGCUUGGGGGGCUGUUUGGACUCAAAUUUACACCAUCGGCCCAUGUAAUCAAGGCCGUUGAGUGAGCAUAGUUCUCGACCGUCAGAUGGAAAAGUGAAGAUAUUUUUGUUAAAGGAUAAUAUUAUGAUUUUUUAUCAUAAUAAUUAUUUUUUAAUGAUGAAUUAUCUUGAUUUUUUCCUGGUACAAGAUGGAUGAGAUGUAAAUGUAGUUCAAUUUGAUUUGGGAUUCUUGGAGUUAAGACGCGUGGUGGAUUGGGAGCAUCAGAGCACGUUAUUAAGAGUCCUAAUACACUACUGCAUUGUUGGCAAAUGGAAAUUGGCAGAGAUAUUAAUGCUUGCAUAAAGAUGAAGAUGUUAAAUUGGAGAUGGAUAGCCACGUGUGAGUGGAUUUGGUGGAGCCAUGCAUGCAUAUCAUUAUUUCAAGUCAAGAUGCUUAUCGGCACUAAUUGGUAUAUGCUAAUAUGCUAUUAAUUAGCAAGAGGUGGUUGCAUGUUGGUAAGUGAUAACAAUCUUUUUGCAUGAGAUUGUUAUGAAUGAGGACUUUGAUGUUGGCGGCAGCUUUACAACACGAGCCGUCAGGAUGAGGAUGAUACUUAUAAAUACAGAGUCGCAAACAACGGGUAGGACCCCUGCAAAUCAAUACAAAAUUGCCCUGCGCAAAUUCUCACAACUUGUGAUUUUUCUUUUUUCCUUUUUUCGCUGACACAUCUUCCGUUGGCAUCAACAGCACUGUGGAAGCAACCGGUGAUAUCUUAAGUCGGCAUAGAUAGCUCUGUCACCGUAGAAUCAGUCGGUCUCGCAGUAUCUUCCGUUGGCAUCAACAGCACUGCGGCGAGAACGAUUGAUUAUCUAUCCAAGUCUCGAUCGAGAAGGAUUUCUGAAUCCUUGUUGGUCGAGGUCAUCUCAUCAGCCUUCUCGGCGAAGUGAGGUGUUACAAGUGACUACAUUCGGCACGUUGAAAGCCGAAUUUGAUAUUGAGCUUCGUAAAAAUGGUAACCUUGUCUUCAGGUUCGAGAGCCCAAGAGGCCGAGACGUGUUCCUUUCUCGGCCGCAAUCGCAAGACGCAGAAGUCAGUAGCGCGACCCAACGCAACAUCAACAAAUUUACUCCUCGGCCGAGCGCGGCCGACGAGUUGGCACGCCCUGCAUUCACCGAAGGACGUAGUUAGCUCAUUAAUUACUCGGCCUGCGCGCCACGUAGGCUUGGUAGUUUCUAGGGUCAACAUUUUGGCACGCCCAGUGGGACCCAGUGCUAAUACUACGAAGUUCAUAUGUUAUAUCAAGAUUCCAAUCUGGCUCAACGUAGCUGAUUGUACGAGCUCCUGGAGGAAUUGAAAAAACAUAAUGAGGAAUGCAAAAAAUCUUUGGAAGCAGAAAAAGUUCUUCGUGGCCAUAAAGAGAUGCAAAAGUCAUUCGCUUGCAUGGUGAAAAUAAAAGCUCCUGUUACCCUGCAUGGGUAAAUGAAGACAGGGCUCGAUUUAAUGCCUGGCUAGAUGAAGAACGUUUUCCUUACGUUUCUGAUUACAGAUCAAUUCCAUUUGAAAAAUGGUUAGGUCCAAAGGCCGGGGGGCAAUUUUUCGCUCCGGCCACAAUCAAAAUUCGGCCUCAAAAAAUUGUUAAGGCGGCCGAAGAAAUACUUAGGCCACCUGUUGUUUCGGUCGAGAUUCAAAGUGUGGUAGGCCUAGACGAAAAAGUUGAAGUUUCUGAGCUAAAAAUCGACUCAGAAAAUGAUUCGUCAGAAGAGUGCUCCAAUGACGAACAAGACCAAUACACGACUUCAAACCAUAAAAUCACAUCGAUUGAUAUGGUAAUUGAAGACAUAGGUCUAGCCGAAAAAAUCACGCCAAUUGAUCUGAUUAUUGGUGAUAAAGCCGAUAUGGAGAAAUCCCGUUCGGCUAAGUUGCUCGAGUUAAAAGCCGAAAUUGGUGAAAUAAUUAUGCCCAGGGGGCAUAAUACUUGUUCCACACAUUCGGCGGCUGAAAAUGCAAAAUAUUUUGCCGAGUCAAAAAUAUUUGGGAAAAAUUCUUUAUUCGGCCUAGAGCGAAAUCAAUUUGAAAAUUUUGAUGCAAAAAGAUCUUGGCUUGGAAUAAAACAUCGUUGGUCUCCUCCUGAUUAUGGUUCGGCCACUUUUAUUUUCGUUUGCUAAAAUAUUAAAUAAAUUAUUUUCUUAACUAUUCGGCUUUUUAGGCCGAUGCAUAAACAUAAAAAGGGGGUAGUAUUGUUUUGACCGAUUUGUGUUCGGAUUUAAGAUUUAUUCGGCAUAUAACAUAUCAUGCAGAAAUUAAUCAUGGCAUGAACUGUUCUAGCACGAAGUGUUACAAUUUGGCGUCAAAGCAGGAGUUGAAUCAUGGCAUCUGCAAUUAGAGUCUCGGCCAAAAGAGUGGUUGCCGAGCCAUUCAAUGCACCUGGGAUUGGUUUGGCCGAAUAUAUAUAUAUAAGAGUUUAGCCGAACUCUCGACUACCUUACAAAAGCCUCGGCCAAAGCUGCAUAUAUAUGAUUCGGCCAAAACUGUAUAUAUAUAUAUAUAUAUAUAUAGGAAUUGCUUAAGGGGAGGGAUCCCCAUUUUUUCAAAAAAAUGGGGACACACUCCCCACCGUUGGAUUUGAAUUAAAUGAAAUCCUGUGGUUGAGAUUCUAUGGCCUGUGUUUUAAUCUCAACCACACAAUUUCAUUAAAGUCAAUCUAACGGUGGGGAGCGUGUCCCCAUUUUUUUUGAAAAAAUGGGGAUCCCUCCCCUUAAGCUCCCUGUAUAUAUAUAUAUAUAUAUAUAUAUAUAAAGAAAAUGGGGAUUCUCGGCCACAACUAUAUAUAUAUAUAUAUAUAUAUAUAUAUUGGGGGGGUUGUUUUUAAUGAGGGCAUUAGAGACUCGGUGGACGUCAAAUCUUGGUCAAAUGAGUGGGUCUGAGUUUCAAUGGCCAUGUGGGGUCGAGGGUUCAUGAUUUAUCUUGGUCAUGAUAGAUGAGUGAUAUUCAAUUGGAGGAAUUCAGCACAGUAUUUUGCCGAAUAAGUUUUUAUUCGGCGGUGGUUUCUCCAAUAAUUCUCGGCCAUAUGUUUUUCUCGGUCACUCGGAGGUAGUCAGUCAUCGGUAUUAUUAUUGGUAAAUCAGUAUUAUUGGAUGAUCAGACUUGGUGCAUACAGCUGAGCUAUCAGGGAUAAGGCCGAGUAAUCAACCGAGCUACCAAGAAUUAGUCAUUGCUGAGCCUUGCAUAUAGAAUGAUGGCUACGAACAAUUAAUUUCCUUAAAUAUUCGGCUUAUGAGCCGAAGUUCAAGGAAAUUGGGGGGCAAUGUUUGGACUCAAAUUUACACCAUCGGCCCAUGUAAUCAAGGCCGUUGAGUGAGCAUAGUUCUCGACCGUCAGAUGGAAAAGUGAAGAUAUUUUUGUUAAAGGAUAAUAUUAUGAUUUUUUAUCAUAAUAAUUAUUUUUUAAUGAUGAAUUAUCUUGAUUUUUUCCUGGUACAAGAUGGAUGAGAUGUAAAUGUAGUUCAAUUUGAUUUGGGAUUCUUGGAGUUAAGACGCGUGGUGGAUUGGGAGCAUCAGAGCACGUUAUUAAGAGUCCUAAUACACUACUGCAUUGUUGGCAAAUGGAAAUUGGCAGAGAUAUUAAUGCUUGCAUAAAGAUGAAGAUGUUAAAUUGGAGAUGGAUAGCCACGUGUGAGUGGAUUUGGUGGAGCCAUGCAUGCAUAUCAUUAUUUCAAGUCAAGAUGCUUAUCGGCACUAAUUGGUAUAUGCUAAUAUGCUAUUAAUUAGCAAGAGGUGGUUACAUGUUGGUAAGUGAUAACAAUCUUUUUGCAUGAGAUUGUUAUGAAUGAGGACUUUGAUGUUGGCGGCAGCUUUACAACACGAGCCGUCAGGAUGAGGAUGAUACUUAUAAAUACAGAGUCGCAAACAACGGGUAGGACCCCUGCAAAUCAAUACAAAAUUGCCCUGCGCAAAUUCUCACAACUUGUGAUUUUUCUUUUUUCCUUUUUUCGCUGACACAUCUUCCGUUGGCAUCAACAACAGCACUGUGGAAGCAACCGGUGAUAUCUUAAGUCGGCAUAGAUAGCUCUGUCACCGUAGAAUCAGUCGGUCUCGCAGUAUCUUCCGUUGGCAUCAACAGCACUGCGGCGAGAACGAUUGAUUAUCUAUCCAAGUCUCGGUCGAGAAGGAUUUCUGAAUCCUUGUUGGUCGAGGUCAUCUCAUCAGCCUUCUCGGCGAAGUGAGGUGUUACAAGUGACUACAUUCGGCACGUUGAAAGCCGAAUUUGAUAUUGAGCUUCGUAAAAAUAGUAACCUUGUCUUCAGGUUCGAGAGCCCAAGAGGCCGAGAUGUGUUCCUUUCUCGGCCGCAAUCGCAAGACGCAGAAGUCAGUAGCGCGACCCAACGCAACAUCAACAAAUUUACUCCUCGGCCGAGCGCGGCCGACGAGUUGGCACGCCCCGCAUUCACCGAAGGACGUAGUUAGCUCAUUAAUUACUCGGCCUGCGCGCCACGUAGGCUUGGUAGUUUCUAGGGUCAACAGGGGCAUAAUAAUUGUUCAGCGCAUUCGGCAGCUGAUAAAAAAUCUUUCGUCAAGUCAAACAUAUUUGGAGAUAGUAUUUUAUUCGGCCUUGCAAAAAUUCAAAGUGAAAGUUUUGAUACAAAAAGCCUUCGGCUUGGAAUAAAACAUCGUUGGCCUCCUCCAUUUAUAGUAGGGCCACUUUUGUUUUCUUUUGCUACAAAAUAAGAAUAAAUUAUUUUCUUAACCAUUCGGCUUUUUAGGCCGAUGCUUAAGAAAAUAAAGGGGGCAAUAAGAUGGUGCGGACUUAGAAAAACAAGAAAAAACAAGAUGGUGUACUCGGCAGACAAUUUUGGUCAAAUAAUGGUGUAUUUGGCAGACAGUUUUGGUCGAAUGAAUUUGCGAGAGCAUGCAUGACAAUUGUUCGGCAGACAGUUUUGGUCAAAUGAAUUUAUGGGAGCAUGCAUGGUUGCGAAGCUUGCUCAAUUCAGUUUCGAUGUGCGGUUUAAUAUAUAUAUAUAUAUAUAUAUAUAUAUAUAUAUAUAUAUAUAUAUAUGUCAGAAUGACCCAUCACAUGAAACAGAAAGAGAGACGCAUACGGAAAAGACAAAGGAAUAUUCAUGAAGUUAUGGUAGGCUUCCAUAUGGGCUAACAUUUUCGUUUGGUGAUGUAGUGAUCUGUGAAUUCCUAACAGCAUUAUUUGGCCGAAUACAAAUCUUUGGCCGAAUAAAACAUAGUUCGGCCGAAUAGAAUGGGUUAUAUAUAUAUAUAUAGGCUCUACAGCCAGUUCUUCUCGGUCUCGGCCCCAUUUACUCUCGAUCCCAGUAUUUUUGACCGAUACUAGUGUUUUCUCGACCCCGACAGUUGAGAGUUGGAGUAGUUCACGACACUGGCAGAGGGAGGUUAUGACAUUGGCAGAACAUAGGUGAUUUUAAUACCGAGAGACAAAAUUUGUUUCGGCAAUACGACGAAGUGUUGUUGGCUACGAGCAAUUAAUUUCCUUAACCAUUCGGCUUACGAGCCAAAGCUCACGGAAACUGGGGGGCAAUGUUUGGACCUGAUUUUACACAUCGGCCUAAGCAAUCGAGGCCGUUGAGUAAGCAUGGUUCUCAACCGUUGGAUAAGAAAGUUUAGAUAUUAUUGUUAAGAGAUAAUAUUAUGAUUUUUAAUCAUAAUAAUUAUUUUUUUUAUAAGUUAUCCCGGUUUUUUAUGCAAAAUAAAUGGGAUGGAGGCAAGUAGAGUUGUGAUGGGGACGUGAGCUUUGAAUCAGGUUGGUUUGUUUUGCUGGACAUGCAUACAUGGGAUGUAAAGAUAAUGAAGUGAUAGGGGAUAAAUCCAAACAUGCCAAAACGUGUAAUUUGCAAAAGAAUUGUGCAAUAUGGAGAUUCUAUCCUAAUGCAUGGUUUUUUGGGUUUGGUUUUGUGCACGUGGCAUGUGACAAUGGAGAUGAUGGUUUUGCAUGGUGAUGGCAAUAUGGGUUUAAAGGUUUCUCAUGUUUUUUUAAUAAGAAGCCUAGGUGGGUUAGAUCUCUAGUGAGAUGUGAUAAAGCCUAGGUGGGUUAGAUCUCUAGUGAGAUGUGAUAAAGCCUAGGUAGGCUUUAUUUAUCUGAAGGAUAUGUGCGGCGUAUUUGAUACGGUAUCAGGGUUUAUCUGAAGGAUAUGCGCGGCAUAUUUGAUACGGGAUCAAGGUCAAUUCCACAAAAUAGAGUUGCAGUUGGACUCUACAAAAUUAUUUGGCCGCGUCACACAACAUUUGCUCCUAUAAAUACAAAGGUAGUGGCAACGGAAGAAAGACCCCUGCAAAUCAAUACAAAAUUGCCCUGCGCAAAUUCUCACAACUUGUGAUUUUUCUUUUUCCUUUUUCGCUGACACAUCUUCCGUUGGCGUCAACAGCACCGUGGAAGCAACCGGUGAUAUCUUAAGUCGGCAUAGAUAGCUCUGUCACCGUAGAAUCAAUCGGUCUCGCAGUAUCUUCCGUUAGCAUCAACAUCACUGCGGCGAGAACGGUUGAUUACCUAUCCAAGUCUCGGUCGAGAAGGGUUUCUGAACCCUUAUUGGUCGAGGUCAUCUCAUCAGCCUUCUCGGCGAAGUGAGGUGUUACACGUUAUUACGUUCGGCAUAUUGAAAGCCGAAUUUGAUAUUGAACUUCGUAAGAAUAGUAACCUUGUCUUCAGGUUCGAGAGCCCAAGAGGCCGAGACGUGUUCCUUUCUCGGCCGCAAUCGCAAGAUGCAGAAGUCAGCCGCGCACCCAACGCAACAUCAACAAAUUUACUCCUCGGUCGACGAGUUGGCACGCCCCGCAUUCACCGAAGGACGUAGUUAGCUCAUUAAUUAUUCGGCCUGCGCGCCACGUAGGCUUUGUAGUUUUUAGGGUCAACAGUCACAUUUCAGGUGUCGGCUAACACUACUUAUUUUCGGUGUCCACUUGAAUAUAUGGGUCAGGGUGUGUCAUAAUGAACGCAGGCGAGCAUGGAUUCGCAACGGGGGUUCAAAAUCAAGUAGAUCCGAAUUGAAUCUCACAAAAACCCGACUGGAUUAUCAUCGGGAAGACUGUAGGCUCUCGAGGAUGGGUGGUUUCACCAGAAAAUGGUCAAACAAGGCCGGGGACAGGGACGACGCAAAAAUGGCAUCAUUUGGUCCUAGGGUUUCAGAAUAAGAGCAGCUAGGCUCCUUGUGGCUUGCGACGCAGCUUGGCGACUCGGCUUACACGCUUCAGGUCGUGGCUCGCGCGGGAGGUUGCAGCAACCCUAAUUUUCUUCUUUCUUUCUGUUCUCACACAAUCAUUAAUUCACCACAACAACAUAUAAGCAAAAUAAUAUUAUAAUUCGAAAAGCAUAAAAUUGGGUUCAUGCACUAUGUUGAAGAUUUCAUGCAAUUAGAGCUGGAAAAAAAAUCAAAAUUGAAACCGUAUUUUAGAAGUUACUUAGAUUGUAUGAUCAAAAUUUUGAGCUGUUUUGUAGCAGAAAAUAGCCUCUAGAUUCAUAGCGCAACGUCUAGAGUGUGCUGAUAACAUUUUGUUUCAUAUUUUACUAAAAGAAAGGGAAAUGGUGUGGUGAUAGUGGUGGAGAAAAAGACUCGGAAAAAUUGGUGUAUGUUCCCUUGUGCCAAUGCCUUUAUUUAUAGUAAACAGAAAGAAGAAGCAAACUUGCUCACCAAAAACACAUAGUCUAAUAGAAAAAAAAAAUCAUCUAAAUUACAUAGAAAUCCUAAUUCAAAUCUACCAAAAUUUACCGAAUUAUACUACAUCAAUAUUAAAUGUAACAAUAUUGACUAUGAUCCUACAGUUUUAUUUGCCAGUGUAUGUCUUUUAGCUAGCUUUAUAAUAACUUAUCAAUUUGAAUUUUUUGUCCCAACAAGUAAGCUAAUAUAUAUUAAAAAAUUAGUAUGUGUACACACACAAGAGAGCCAUAUAGUCUUUGGUCUUAUUGUCUCAAAAGUCAGAAGAGAAGACCCGAAGAACGAGCACUCCUCCAUAGUCCACAUUUCUCUACGGUCAUAUUCGGCGGACAAAAUUCUAUGCUCCAACGUCUUCGCUCUCCUUUUUUUUUUUUUUUUUUUUUUUUUUUUUUUUUUUUUUUUUUUUUUUUUUUUUUUUUUUUUUUUUUUUUUUUUUUUUUUUUUUUUUUAGCAAAUGAUAUUAUUUAUAUUAAAUGAUUGAGAUAACAUGUCAAAUUUCACACGUAACUAGCUAUAAUAAUGUUAUUUAAAUUCAUCUUUGACGAGAAUUGAAACUAAGACCUUACUUAUAAGUGAAAAUUAAUAUCAUUAACUCGUAGUACUAAAUAACACUUUAAUCUUUAAAAUUUACAAUCAAACUAGAUUUUUUUUCUCCUUUCUAUAUCCCGUGUUCCAAUUUCCACAUCCACACUUACAAAGUCGUACACGAUGACAUAGCACCAUACCCAUAUAUGGCAUUUGAUGUUUCUAGUCCUCGACUAACAUGAAACGUACAGUCGAUUCUUUCCCUUAGUCCCACUAGUCACAUGUGAUUCCUAUUCUUUUAUAAACAACUUUUUUUUAUUUAUUUUUUUUCAGCCAAAGAAGUUAAUUAAAAUUUUCAAACUGAAAAAUUAUUUAAUCAAUUACAAUAGCAUAAUAUUCAAACUGGAAUUUUUUUUUUUUUAGAGAAUGAUUUUCUACUCAAGAGGUGUGGGGAUUGAACCAUGCCACAUAAGGGGUUAGCUCUUAACUAAAUAUCAAACUCAACUCGAAUAUAAUACAUCAUCGCGAUCCAUAUGAGCAAAACCUGAGACGACUCACUUGAAAAUAGAGAUAAUUAUCACUAAAUCAUAGUACUAGCUGGUCACUUUAAUACAGUACUCACACUUGUAGGCUUUGGCUACACUAGCAUCAAUUAACUCUUGAUAUAACGUAAUUUUACUUCUUAAUAUUAUUCCCAAUUGAUUAACAAAACUACUAUAACAAAAACAAAUAAUAUAACUAAAAUAUGGACUUACGAAAAAUAAAAGAAAAUGAUUUUCGUACAAUUUUCCUCACUCUACGCAUCUCUAUUUAUUUUAAUCUAUCGAUUCUCAUUUAUUUCAUUUAAUUCAAAUACUAGAAAUAAAGUGGCAUUAAGACUAAGAAGGUACAAAUCCCAUCAGCUCAUGGGCAUUAGUGGAAUUUCGCCCUUCUUUAACUGCAUUGUCCCUCCAUAUGCAAGUUAAUUUCACGCGGAUACAAACCCAAUACUUAACUAAGCAACAACAGGCCCACAUUUGACCAACAACUAAUUUAGUCGUAUUUACAUACACACCCCUGUCCCACCACCACCAAGUCAAAACGACGACGUCACCUUCGUCCUCAAAAACUCCUCCAACCUCCACUUCCUUCCAAAACACAACAAACUCAAACCUCUCCGUCUGAGAAACUCUGGAGCACCAAACAAUCAACUCGCCACUAAAAAUGGGGAGGGAGCGGGACCAUCUCUACAUCACCGUUCCCAACCUCUUCCGCUGCCCCAUCUCCAUGGACGUCAUGCGCUCCCCCGUCAGCCUCUGCACCGGCGUCACCUACGACCGCGCCAGCAUCCAGCACUGGCUCGAAUCCGGCCACGACACCUGCCCCGCCACCAUGCAGAUCCUCCAGUCCAAAGACGUCAUCCCCAACCUCACCCUCCGCCGUCUCAUCAACCUCUGGGCCCAGUCCCACGGCCCUUCCUCGCCGGCCUCCUCUCCCUCUCUCUCCUCCCAGCACCUCGCCUCCCUCGUUCAAUUUCUCCGCAAUGAGAACGAGACUGAGAAAUUCAGCCAAAAUAUCGUAAACUCAUUGUCGAAGACUGCCGAUUUCGCGAGGGUCGGCGAGGAGAACCGGAGGUUUGUGGCGAAUUUCGACGGCUUCGUCUCCGCCAUUGUGGGGAUUCUGAACAGAGAAGGCGUCGAAAUCGAAGUUCUCGAAUCGGUAAUUAAGGUUUUGGAUUCGAUUUUGCCUCAAAGCGGAGUCAACGAGCAAUUGAGCCGAUUUAUUGCGAAGAGCAACGGCAAUUACCUCGCUUCAAUUCGAUUGGUACUGCAGAAAGGAAGCCUGAGCUCGAAGAUCGAAUCCGUCAAGGUUUUGGAUUCGAUCGCGCUCGACGCCGAGUCGAAACGAUUAAUCGCGGAGAAGGAAGGCUUAUUGUCCGUAUUCAACGAUCUGUUGAGCUUGGAAACGUGUCAGGACCUAUACGGCGCCGUUUUCUCAUGCUUAGCAUCAUUGUCCGUGAAUCGGUCGAUUAAAGCCGAGCUCGUCCGGUUCGGACUAGUCCGAGUUGUAACGUCAACGCUGCUAAAGCCGGACACUAGCACUACCCUUGCGGAGAAGUGUUUGAAGCUGUUAUCCACCAUUGCCACGUGCGCCGAGGGCCGGUCGGCGAUCAGCGGGGAGGAGAAGUGCGCGGAGGCGGUGGCGGAGAGGCUGAUGAAGGUGUCGAGGGGGGCGACGGAGGACGGCGUGGCGGUGCUGUGGAGCGUGUGCUGCAUGUUGGGGGACAAGAGGGCGAGGGAGAGCGUGGCGGGAGGAAAUGUGGUGGCGAAGGUGUUGUUGGUGAUGCAGAGUGGGUAUGGAGAGGGGCAUUUUGUGAGGAGGAUGUGUGGGGAUUUGGUCAAAGUUUUGAGUGUUGGGUUAGGGUUGGGGUUGAGGUAUGACACCAAGACUAUACAUAUCAUGCCUUGUUAGAAAUUGUUCAUGAUGAUAAUCUUGCUCAUUUAUUUUUUUUUUGGAAAUUGUGAAUUUGGAUAAAAAAUUUUAUAGAAACAAAAAGGAAAAUUCUUUUUAGUUUUGUAGUCAUUGAUCAUCAUUAUGUGAUUGAUGUUGUAUGAUUAGUAGAGAUAUUUUUGUGUGCUGUGAACAUGACCCGGUAUAUUAAGAAUAGUAUUACAAUUCGUUGGAAACUUUAAAAAAAAAAUUCCAAGAAAUUGUAUGUGCUGUGUUUCCGGAAAAAUUUCUUGGGUUUGUGGGGAUGUGAAUAUGCAAAAUUAUGUUGAUAAGAUGGCUUAAGUGAUUAAAAGAAUGAAGAAAUAAACAACUUUUUGUUAAUCUCAUGUUAAUCUUCUUUUUUGAUUUGUUGUUUCUUUUAUUGUUAAUUCAGAAAAGUUUCAUGAUGAAUUUGUUUGGACUUUGAAAAAGGAUUAGGGACAAGAAUCCAAUCCAUCGUAAAAGGGGCAAGUUUUGAUAUGAUUUGCAAGUUAUAACUUGUUAAGUAAGAGAACGUAAGGAGAUCUAUUGUAUACUUGGGUAAAUUUAAUUGGUCUUAAGUUCAAAUUUAUUUCUAAGUAAUUUUGGAGUAAUUGUGAUCAAAUAGUUGUAUGCUUUUUUUUAGAGUGGACUUACAAGUCACAGUUGUAUUGCCUCAACUACGUUUUAUACCAAUAAUACAAUACCAUGCAGAGAAAUUUACACAUAAUGUUGUAUAUUUGGCAUGAGACUAUCUUAGUGAAAAUGUAUCCAUGCCAUAGAAGUCGUCCUCUCUUUUGUGGGUGAGGUAGUUCUGGGCAAUGAACCUGUAUGAAAAAAUAUGAGUUGUUGAGCUAUGCACGAGUGUCAAACGUAACAUGGCUUAUUUUCGUAUCCCUGGUAAACAAACUACAAAAUCGUUGCUCUUAGAACAGUAUGUGUUUAAUUUCAAAAACGAGACAAAAAUGAUUGUAAAGAAAAAACACUAAAUAAGGAGACAAAUUCAGGCUAGUUUGCGUUCGAAUUUUACAGGGUAAGGCAACAACUUGGCUGUAGUAGGCAUCUGGUUUGCAAAAAUCCAGCAGAAAACAAUUGUAUGGACAACAAAUUGCGAUGCUCCGAUGCGACUCUCUAACAAUGUAAAGCUGUUUUGAAGUGGUGAAGGAACAAGGGUCAUGGCGCCAGAUAACCGAGUUGUAUCAGCAACCAUUUUUAUGAGCCUGCUGCCUCGGCUUCCAUGCUCGAUUCUGGUAACUUUGUCAUCUACAACUCGGACUCAAAUAUCAUUUGGCAGAGUUUUGAUACUCCAACCGAUACCAUUGUAUCUGGCCAGCGAUUGCUGGCUAGAAAGAAGCUUGUCUCCAGCAUCUCCGACACAAAUCAUGCAAGCGGAAGAUUUAGACCUUCAAUGUAGCGUGAUGGGAACCUAGAGAUGUACCUGGAGUGUCCAAUUAUAUUACAACCUGAUUGAUCGGUAUGCUUACUCAAAUAGUGGGACGUACAGGGCUGGAGACAAUGAGUCACUCAACGUUGAUCACAAUGGACAGUUAUAUCUCCUCAGUUACAAUAUAAGGAACGCUACGAAUCAGAAAGAGCUGUUUGACACACACACGUAUGUACCACAUGAUGAUUGACUUUGAUUGUAUUACUCCAGUUAUACUUCCAUACUAUUUAUAUUUAAUUUUAAAUUUUAAAUGAUUUUUAACCGCACGAUAUACAUGAACGGACAUAAUUAUGGGAUCCUCCAAAUUCCUGAGAAAAGGACGUCGAACAAGAAUCUUUGGUUGCUCCAUUGUCUCAUUUGACGGACUGAAAUAACGGAGCUAACAAACUGUAAGUACAAAGGACGAAAGUGAAAAGAAAAAGGCUAAAGGGAGGUAAGUGAUAAUUCGAUUUAAACUAACGGGACCAUGAGUGCAAUCUGACUCGCUCCUUAACUUGGAAAAGCCAACCAGGGCGUUCCAAGUGUGAUGAUGAACACGUGCCGAAACACCAUUGGAUUCUGGAGGGGAACCAGUGAGGCCUCCCGCAGCAAAGCCACACAAAAUGAUACACAAGCGAUCUGAGUCGUCGGCGAGGAUCCUUUUCCGUGAAAAAUCGAUCGAAGAAGCAAAGGCAGGUCACUGAAUAAAGAAAUAAAAACACAGAAGCUGAAGCUGUUGCGGGAAAAAGCUUGACCAAAUCAGGGUUCCCGAAUUCGAAUCGCCAACGAGGUUAACCAGAUUAGGGUUUUAACAAAAUUUUUAAGUUACUUUUACCAUGUUGUAAUUGCUUAAUUUUUUUUGCUGAAAUUCAGAAAUUUGCAGGAAAACUGAAAUGGGGGACGGCCUAUGGAACCGCCAGCAGCAGCAGCAGCAGCAGCAUCAACUGGGUCCCUCUGGCGGCGUGCAUAAACGACCUCGUUCCGACUACGGUAACUCCUCUGUGGCCAUUUCUCAUAGUUUUUUUCUUUAAUUAGAUGAAAUUGCGAUUGCAUUCGUUUGCAUUAUAGAUUUAGUUGUCAAACCAUUUAAUUUCUGACUUCUUGUUUAUAAUUCGAGCGAUAUUAUAAUCUAAUCGAAACUAUGGGGAGAGGGGGAUUCGAACUUGGGUGCAGAUGGGGAGCACACUGCUCGAGCCAACUUAGCUAGGCCAAAGUCUGCUUCUUCGUGUUAUAAGUGUUUUUACUUUAGUGGUUCUUGAUGGGUUUCGGGUUUCAAUGUAAAUUAUGUUUCAAAGUGGUGAAAUUUAUGUGAAGGGUCAAGGGUAUCUAGACAAAGGAUUCCAGUUCAGUUGUCUGAUGACUCUGCUUGUAUGUAUCUCCCCUUACUCUAGUAGAUAUGCAGAUUCUGGUUUUGUAGCUAGGUGUCUCUUUUCUUUUCUUUUAUAAAAAUUACAAUAAAUGUUUUGCUUCCAUAGUUCCAUGUGUACUCUUACAUCUUCGGGGUCUUCUUGAAGCAUAUAAUAUAGUCUUAGCCUAUCUGUUCCACUUACUACAAUUGCGAUCAACACUCAUACUCGUAUGAUUCCAUAUAAUAAUGUAUCUUCCACGAAAGCUUUACUAAGCAUAUGAUUUCUGUUAUUAUUUUCUUUGUAACCAGAUCACAGUUUUUGGCCUUCAUGUUUCCUUCGGUCCAUUGUUAAUGAUAUUAUUUACUGGAUUUCAUAUUUAGAGCAACUUUUGAAUGAUUUCCACAUUAGCGGUAGUUUUAGAAGUUACUGGUUGUUAUUAAGUUAUGUUCAAGGGGGGAAAACCUUGUUCGGUGUGUUUGCUAAGACCUGUGUGAAAAUGGAAACUACUACAAAAUCAUUCAGGUUUCCAAUUACAUUGCAAGGUACUUAAGAAUGGAUCUUUUCCUGAACCCAACCAAACCCCAAACCUCUGAAAUUAUCAAGUAGAUUCUUUCCUUUUAGUGCGGUCAGUCUUCCAAUCUAAUACUAUUCUUCAAUAAUUAUGGUAAUAAGAUCCUCCAUACAUAUUUAUAAUGCAAUUAUGUUUAUAUACAAAUUGAUGCAUAUUAUUGGUAUACAUUUUGAUAUAACCAAAUUCCCCUUUUUUUUCAUUUAGUUAUUUGUUUGCUGAGUUGUUCUUGUUAUAACUUCUUAGUCACUGAUCAAAAGCCUAGACUUGUAUAUUGUAUGUAGAUGUUUUGAUUGGUAUGUUUUCUUUGUACUUUUGAACAUUGGUGGCAGUUUUACUUGUUCAAAUACCACCUAGUUGUUAGUAGUGAUAUUGUUCAUUCCGCACCUUGGGUCUAACUCUGCACAUUAAAGAGUAGGUUUUUACCUUGUUAAUUGACGGGGCAUACUCUACUUCCACCUCAUGCUUCUCAAUUGGUUUCUUGAUUUAAGUUCUUCCAUCUGCUUUUUUAUUUUUUAUGCCUUUUCUCUUGUUCUAUAGUUGUAAUAUAUACAGCUGAAUUAGGGUCUAUUUGUUAAUGUUUUCUCAAUGUUGUGCCUUUAAAUAUAGGUAAAUUAUGCGCUUGGUGCAUUAAGUUUGUUAAACAUGGGAAACAUAUUCUGUAAAAUGAUCUCAACUUUUGUUCUUCAAGUUAGGAAACAACCAUUCCACUAUUUAUGUUGUUUUCAGGGGGAUUGUGAAACAUGGUGAGUAGUUAGAAACAAAAAAAGGAACCUUUCAACUGGAAUAAAUGUUUCUGUCAUCCUCAGAGGCUCUGUUGUUGGUCCUCACUUUUCACGUAUAUCUGCUCUCAAAAACCUAUACCAAAAAACCAAACACCCUAUCGCCUCUCUCUUCCUUUCUUUCUCCAUCUCUCUUUGCCUCCUCAUCUCUCCCACUUUCUCUCUACACCCUCAAAACCUGCACUCCAGCCCCACUCCGAACGCCUGACCCAUUCAUCGAAACCAAUAUGUGGAACCUCUUCUCAACCUCCCCCGCCCCCGCCCCCGCAAUGUUGUCGUCUCGUCUCUGAUUUGAAAACAUUUGGUUGUGGGUUGUUUUCAAUAUAAUAAGUUGGACGUGAAUAAUUGUUAGUGAUAAAUUUGGAUGGUAGAGUUUGGUAUUAUUUCAAUUUAAACUGGAGUGGUCAAGAAUUUGGUAGAACUUGUAAAAUGGAGAAACUGAAGAUGGUGAAUCAGACUUGGUUUCAGUUUAAACGGGGAUAGUUAUACCGUACUUGUAUGGGAUAUAGAGCGAUGUUGGAUGCAGCUUUAUUUUAUUGUAUCGGUUUUGUUUUGGUGUCGGAAUGGUUAUACUGUACUUGUAUCUGUUUCUUUAUCUCGUUUUGGUGUUGCUUUAUUUUUUUAUUGCUUUUAAAUCUGAAAUGGUUAUACUGCACGUGUAUUGGAUAUAGGUCUGAUGUUGGAUGUUUAUUGAUAUGAAUGUUCCAUUUAAUAGGGCUCUAACUCACAAUGGUUUUGGUUAGCUUUGAUGCGGGCAUGGGAUAAAUCAAUUUCACUAUUGUGCCGUUUAAAAGGGCUCUUAACUCACAAUGUUUUAAUAUAUUUGUUUGGUUCAUUGAUACGUCUUGUCAAAAUGUGUUUACAUUAGUUACGUGUUUGAACUUUGAUUAUAAUAUUUAGUUGAAAAUAGUUUUUCAAAAUAUUGCUGCCUAAUACAAAUUCAGUAAUUUAAUUUUUUUCUCAUACUAGCACUGAACACAUUUUCACUGUUUUUGUUUUUAGAAACAUUUUUUCAAACUAUUCUACCAGAUGCAUUAUCUAAUGUUAAAUUACAAGAAUGUUAUAUCAUUUUCAUUUUCUGAAAGGUUUUUAUGCAGAUGGUUUUGUAAAACAUCACCUGAUAGGCUCUUACUUUUCUGUAUUGUCAACCUGUCUUCAGGUCAAGAGAUGCAUGGUUAUUUUGCGCGAGAGGAUGAUCUUGGUGGUCCUAGGACUGUAAAGGAUAACAGAUCAAUCGGAUCAGCAUAUGACCGUUAUCUUCAGAAUGCGGUGACUUUCUUAAGCAUUUGAAACUAUGCCUAUUAUUAUUUGUGUUACAUCUCUCUGUUUCUGUACUAAAACAUUUGUCCUACUUGCUUCUAAAGGAAAUGGCUUCGUACACUUCUGGAGAAGCGAGUACUUUUGGUGGAGCUGGAAUGGGAAGGGCUGUUGGUGGUGGAAUGACAGGUCCUCCAAUGGCUGAUCAUUCUAUGAGGGGCCGUCCUGGAGCUAUGUCUUCUGAUGUACUAACAAAUGGUCGAAAUAUGAAUCUUGCUAAUCAGCUCCCAGUUGAUUCAAUGCCUAGGCCUGGACGUGAAACAGUUCCUUUACCUCUGGAUGCAUCCAGCACUUUAUAUGUUGAAGGACUUCCUCCUGACAGCACAAGGAGGGAAGUAGCUCGUAUCCUUUAUGAUGCUUAAGAAUUAUUGCAUAUUGCUUUCCAAUCUUAUUGUUUAACUCAAUAGUUUUUCCAUCGCUCCUCCUUUACAUAACUCUUAAGAUAUCUUUCGUCCUUUUGUGGGAUACAAAGCAGUGAGGCUUGUGAGCAAAGAGUCCAAACACGUAUGUGGGGGUGGAUUAUUGUAAACAAUUACUUUUCUUAGUCAUUCUGUUUUUCUUGAUCACUCUGACUUGAGAUUGUCGUUGUGCUACUUGGUUCGACUCUUGGGAAGUUUAUAAUCUUUCUUCACACUAAUAUUCCGGUUUGUCCAUAAUGCAGCGUGGCGGGGAUCCUCUUAUUCUUUGUUUUGUGGAUUUUGAAAAUCCAGCCUGUGCAGCAACUGCUCUGAGUGCCUUGCAAGGUGAUUGCUUUUUAUUGUCAUCAACCUUGGUGACUAUCAGUGUCAAAGAAAGCUUAAUUCUUUCUUUCUGUUUUUAUUUGUUUCCUUUAUAGCUUCACAAGUGUUAUUUUCUAUCAUACCUUAUUCAAUCAUGUAAAGGGUAAAUUUAUGUUAAAAUUCUUCCAUGCAUAGUAGGUGUAAAGAGGUUGAGGCAGUUCAUAAAAAUGUUAUAGAUGGCUUCUUGUGAUUUAAUAUUGGAGUUCAUAAUAUCUCUACACUACAUAUCGUGUAGAACUAGCUGGAUUGCUCAUUAUUUUCCCAUGUUUGUUGUUUUUGAAAAGCUGGAAGAUGCUGACAUUUGUGUUGCUGGAAGAUGCUGACAUUCAUGUAAUUCCAUGCAUAGUGUUUUAGUAUGUGUAAAGACGUUGAGGCAGUUGAAAAAAAAAAUGUUAUAGAUGGUUUCUUGUGAUUUAAGAUUGAAGUCCAUAAUAUCUCUACACUCCCGAUUGUGUAGAACUAGUAUUGCUCAUUAUAUUUUCCCGUGCUCGCGGUUUUUGAAACGCUGGAAGAUGCUUACAUUUGUGUUGCGUUUGCAGGUUAUGAAAUGGAUGAACAUGCUCCUGAUUCUAAUUACUUGCGGCUGCAGUUUUCUCGGUUCCCUGGUCCUAGGUCUGGACCUGGCCGUAACAAGAGGUGAUAGGCAUUAGGUGAUGAGAAAUAUCUGUUUUUGAUGUAAUCAAGAUUGCAUUUGCUUUUAAUACAUUCCAUAUAUAUAUAUAUAUAUAUAUAUAUAUAUGUAUUGCUCAGGCUUGGGCACACACCAACUGUAAGCACUUCUGAUGCACAUUGUUGUUUCGAGGUAGUGAAUCAGAAACAGUUUUAUAGUUGUGCAAUUAAACAGAGAUCUGAUUUUGCACGUCCAUGGUCUACAAAAUUUGUAAGUGUUUUUAGAAGUGGCAAGUUUCUCAGGCACAAACCCUUUAAAAACUAGUGUGUUUUUUUAGCAUGGAUUUGCAGGCUUCUGUUACAUAUAUCAUAUGGUAAGUGAUUUCCGCUCGCUUUUUCUCCUUGUACAACUCCUUUUUUCCUAGUUUAAGGGUUGGAUAAAUCAAAUCAAAGGAGAAUAAGUGGAAAGAAACAUAAGGUGAAUGCAGGAGGAGAAAAUGGGAACGUGCCGAUGACUACCGAUCAAACUCGUCUUUUCUUGUAACUUCCAACUGCAUGGAGAAAAGCAAGACACUGCGUGAUGAGAAUGGGCAUUGCAUGGUGUCAUGUCUUGUGGUGUUAGAAAUUUGAUCCGAGUCCUUCCCAUUUGGACUACAGUUAAGGACAGGCUCUACUAUGUCCUCCCAAUGCUAAGCACUAGGUAGUGGGCUGCCGACUAGUCUAUGUGCCACUGUACAUAUCACAUGGGCUUUCAACCCAUAAUCCUAUCCUGCUAGAGCUUCCCCCUACCCUUCUUGAAAUUAGUAUACCGUCAGGUAUGUUGCUGUCUCUCAUAUCACGUGACUAAUGAUUCGUUUGGAAUUACUUCUUUCAGAAACACUUAUACUACAAGUGUUUUUAUUGUAGACACGUUAAAUCUUUACAAACAAUCCAAGUGUUCAUUGAAAAAUAUUUGAAAGUGCUUCUUGAAAAAGCAUUUGGCAAGUGCUCCUCUAAAGAUAGUUUAUACGAGUCAAAAGAAUUUCUAAUAUUUUAUCUUUAUGCCAAUCGCAACAGAACACAUUUAGCUUUUCCAGAAUCAAUCCUAAACUAGUUCUAAGCAAAGAAAGGGCAAUAUAACAUAAGGACAACGAAGAAUCUCUCUAACAUUAAAGGUUAUGUUUGUUCGGUCACUAGACUCAAACAAAAGAGAAAAGUAGAAGUGGGCAAUAAAUUGGUUUUCGAUUACCAUCAAAUUGGCACAACAUUCGGCAUUGUUUCGCAAAAGACUGCUUUUUUUUCUUAGCAUUAGUUUUACACACACUCUAGUGUGUGGUAAAAACAAGCUAGGGUUUGGUUGGAGAACAAGUCUGAGCAGUUACAUGCCAUGUGGGCUGGAGGGUUUCGUUUGGUGCCAUUACUCUUUUUUCUUGUUCUAUCAUCCUUGUCGAACUGGAAGAGAAAAAGGAGGGGAAAAGGGAGUUUAGGGCAAAAAGGAUACUGAGUUUAUAAACCAGGAAAUGUCUAAGCAAUUUGUUUGUGCCAACGUGACUGUUAUCUAAAUAUAGCGUACUUGUGGUAUAAAAGAAAAAGGCAAAAAGGGUAACUGUAAAUAGUUGUUGUACUUAAGUGUAAAUUGUCCCACAACUUGUCCAGGGACCAGUGCAUAUAAGUUGUAGCUGCAAGUGCAAGGAGCAACCUCUGGAUUAGAUAGACGGAUGGACUUGGUUUGGUAUGAUUCCAAGUCGUCGUUGAUGUUUCUUCUUCUUUGUGGCCCAGCCACCCAGGACUAUAGUCCUUAUUUGGUAGGUAUUUAUUGCAAGGCUAACUAUAGGAUUGGAGAUAGACAAAGGGAGAUGGGACAUGGAGAAUGGUUUGCCAAGUUUGUUUAGAAUGGAUCGGGAUCAAUGCCCGUUGGAUCCCUAGUAAUUGAAUAUUAGUUAAAGAUUCAACGUCUAUGAAUCUCGGUCUAUGUUAUGAACUGUUUUUACAAUUUUCGUUCAUUGUGUAUCACGUAAUAUGCAUAAUGUUAGACAAUCCACUUGUUUUAUUUGAGACAACUGUAUUUGAUGCACUUCCUAAUUUCUGUUUUCUGACUUGCUUCAAUCUACAUUCUCUUGAUAUUUUUUUUUCCAUUUUACUCGGUUUUAUGAUAGUGAGAACAUUCAACAUGGCCUCUUCUUCCUCAAGUUGCUUCUUUGUGAUACGUAUAUCUGUUUUUGUACUAAAACAUGUAUCCUACUUGCUUUUAAAGGAAAUGCCUUCGUACACUUUUGGAGAAGCGAGUACUUUUGGUGGAGCUGGAAUGGGAAAGGCUGUUGGUGGUGAAAUGACAGGUCCUCCAAUGGCAUGAUCAUUCUAUGAGGGCCAGUCCUGGAGCUAUGUCUUCUGAUCUAUUAACAUAUGGUCGAAAUAUGAAUCUUAUUAAUCAGCUCCCAGUUGAUGCAAUGCCUAGGCGUGGACGUGAAACAGUUCCUUUACCUCUGGAUGCAUCCAGCACUUUAUAUGUUGAAGGACUUCCUCCUGACAGCACAAUGAGGGAAGUAGCUCGUAUCCUUUAUGAUCCUUCUAUGAUGCCUAAGAAUUAUUGCAUAUUGCUUUCCAAUCUUAUUGUUUUACUCAAUAAUUUUUCAAUCGCUCAUCCUUUACAUUACUCUUUAAGAUAUCUUUCGUCAUUUUGUGGGAUACAAAGCAGUGAGGCUUGUGAACGAAGAGUCAGGUUUGUCCAUAAUGCAGCGUGGCGGGGAUCCUCUUAUUCUUUGUUUUGUGGAUUUUGAAAAUCCAACCCAUGCAGCAACUGCUCUGAGUGCCUUGCAAGGUCAUUGCCUUUUUCUUUUCAUCAACCUUGGUGACUAUCAGUGUCAAAGAAAGCUUAAUUCUUCGUUCUGUUUUUAUUUGUCUCUUUAAAGGUUUGUAAAUUUUUUUUCUAUCGACCUUAUUCAACCAUGUAAAUGGAAAAUUUAUGUUAAAAUUCUUCCAUGCAUAGUAGGUACAAAGUGGUUGAGAUAGUUCACAAAAAUGUUAUGGAUGGCUUCUUGUGAUUUAAUAUUGGAGUCCAUAAUAUCUCUACACUCCAGAUCGCGUAGAACUAACUAGAUUGCUCAUUAUUUUCCCGAGCUUGUUGUUUUUGAAACGCUGGACGAUGCUGACAUUUGUGUUGCGUUCGCAGGUUAUGAAAUGGAUGAACAGGCUCCUGAUUCUAAUUACUUGCGGCUGCAGUUUUAUCAGUUCCCGGAUCCCAGGUCAAGACCUGGCCGUAACAAGGGGUGAUAGGCAUUAGGUGAUGAGAAACAUCCGUGUUGAUGUAAUCAAGAUUGCAUUUGCUCUUAUACAUUAUAUAUAUUGCUCAGGCUUGGGCACACACUAAUUGUAAGCACUUCUGAUGCACAUUGUUGUUCUAGGUAGUGAAAUCAGAAACAGUUUUAUAGUUGUGUUGAACGAUCUGAUUUUGCACGUCCAUGGUCUACAAUUUACUCAAGGAAUGUUUUAAUUCUGAAUUGAGAUUGUACUGUGCAUAGACUACCGCAAAAUUAGUACAGAGAUAGUUUCCCUAUAGAUUGUUUUCAUAUACUAGAGGACUUCCAUGGCCAGGGUAUCUUGCCACCAUAUUGUCCCCGUACAUUUUCCCUCCAUAUUAGUUAUAUAUUUAUCUGGACAUUCUAACCUAAUGAAGUCCUACAAUCAUCAUAACUCAUUUUACUUAGCUCAUGCUCCUUACAAUAUUUGAUGAACUCACAUAAGAAACUCAUAGAAAUUUGUUCCCAGUCAUUACCUUUGGACUGCAGUUGAAGCUUAUGAUACAUCCUCCCAAUGCUAAGCACUAGCUAGUGGGUUGUCGACUAAUCUAUGCCACCGUACACAUCGCAGGGGCUUUGAACUCUGUCUCAAUUAUUGUAAAGACGUUAGCCUCUUCAAUGAAAGAACCCAUAGUCCUAUGCUGCUAGAGCUCCCCCCACCCUUCUUGGAAUUAAUAUAGUGUUAGGACAUAUCGCUCUAUUUCUCACAUCACGUGACUAAUGAUUUCUUUGAAGUUACUUCUUUAGGAAACACUUAUACUACAAGUGCUUUUAUUAUAUAGAAUCUUUAUAAGCAAUCCAAGUGUUCAUUGAAAACGUAUUUGAAAGUGCUUCUUGAAAAAGCAUUUGGCAAGUGCUUCUUGAAAAAGCAUUUGGCAAGUGCUUCUAUAAAAGAGCUUAUUGGGUCAAAAGAAUUUCUAAGUUUUUUUUUCUGCCAAGCACAACAGAAUACACAUUUUAGCUUUUUCCAGAACCAAUCCCAGACAAGUUCUAAGCAAAGAAAGGGCGAUACAGCCUGAAGACAACGGAGAAUUUCCCUGACGUUAAAGGUUUUGUUUGUUCGGUCACUAAACCCAAAAAAAUAGAAAACUUGAAGUGGGCAAUGAAUUGGUUUUCGAUUUCCAUUAAAUUGGCACAACAUUCGGCAUUGUUAUGCAAAAAUAUACUUUUUUCUUAUCAUUAGUUUUACACACACUCUAGUCUGUGGUAUAAAAUGAGCUAGGGUUUGGUUGGAGAACAAGUCUACGUGGUAUCAUCACUUACAUUACAUGCCAUGUGGGCUGGAGGGUUUCAUUUGGUGCCAUUACUCCUUUUUCUGUUCUAUAAUCAUUUUGGAACUGGAAGAGAAAGUGGAGGGGAAAAGGUAGUUUAGGGCAAAAAUUUUCCAAUCAAUUUUUUGGCAGUGUGACUGUUUUCGAAAUAUAGAGUAGUUGUGGCAAAAAAGAAAAAGGAAAGGGGUAAUUGUACAUACACAUUGUUCCAAAGGGUCAGUUGUCCCACAACUUGUCAAGGGACCAGAGCAUUAAGUUGUAGCUGCAAGUGCAAGGAGAAAGUUGUGGAUUAGAUAGACCAAUGGAUUUGGUUUGGUUUAAUUCCAAGUCAUCGUCGUUUCUUCUUCUAUGUGGCCCAGCCGCCCAGGACUUUAGUCCUUAUUUGGCAGGUACUUAUUACAAGGUUAGAUAAAGGGAGAUGAUACAUGGAGAACGGUUUGCCAAGUUUGUUAGAGUGGAUCCGGAUCCAUGAGUGUUGGAUCUCUAGUAAUUGAAUCUUUAGUUAAAGAUUCAAUGUCUCAACGAUCUAUGCUAUACAUUUGUCUUUACGAAUUUUCAUUCAUUGUGUAUUACAUAAUAUUCUUGACCCUCUUAUAUGUGACUUCGGCCGACUUCUAUCACCCGAUAUCGUUGUGUAAUAACUUGAUGAGAUAGCCAAUGCUUAGGUCAUCUUCAAUGGAGAUGGCUAAAGGUCAAAAAGCUAAAAAAUAGUAUGAUUUGUUCAAAAACUCAUCUCCAACCAAUGUCAGAGCUAUAAUUAUAUGGAGCCCACCAUGCCAUUAUUUGGCUAGUGCCCCUUUCUUAGCCCCUUUUUGGGGCCUAGCUCCUCGAUUAUGCCAUCUGCAAUGAAGAGGGCUAAAUGUCUAAAAGCCAAAAAAUGACAUGAUUUACCCAAAAACUCAUCUCCAACCAAUAGCUAGGUUAUAAUUCUAUGGAUUCAACAGUUAGAUUUGGAAACAUCCAAUGUUAGUUUAAUUAAAUUAAAGUAUAAACUUAAAACUAAUAAAUUAUUAGGGAGCCUAUGUUUUAGCCCUUUCGGUUGGAGAUGGUAUAUGAGUAUGGCCGACACUAUUCAUUUAAAAAUAAUUUUUUUGUUGGGUUAUAAUUUUGGAUGAGGCUAUGUCUAGCCCUUUUGGUUGGAGAUGACCUUACAAUGAUUAAUUCAAAUUCAAUGGUUAAAUUUGAAAAUAUCCAACAAAACAUCCAACAGUAGUUUAAUUAAAUUAAUCAAUAAUUUUAAGUAUAAACUCAGAACUAAUAAAUUAUUGAGGGAGUUAUGUUUAGCCUUUUCGGUUGGAAAUGAUAUAUGAGUAUGGCCUAAUACUGUUUAUUAAAAAAAAAAUCUUUAGUUAUCUCUGCUAAUCAAUAAAACACUCAUUGUCAACCAAAAUCCUAUGAAAUUACCAGUUUAACCUUCUAAUUAAAACAAAACAUGAAUAAGAAAUAUGGGGCGGAAAUUUAAUUUUACACAAACAAAAUUUGUUGUUUUUUUUUUUCAAAACUUCAUCUAUAUAUAAUUCUAACAUAUCUCUAAUUAUAAAAUAAAUAAAAAAUAAAAAUAAAAACUUCCUACUCCCACAUUCUCUAUCACUCCCUUCCUCUCUUCUUUUAUUUUAAAACAAAAAAAAAAAUUUCACAUACUUUAUAUAUGCCCAUAUGCUAGUAAUUAUAAACGAAACUAUAUUUAACUAUUUCGUUGAAAAUGACCGUACGAGUAUGUAAAUUUUGAAAUGUGAGUUGUCGUUCACUACGCAAGCAAAGAUCGAAAGCCUUCAUGUACCGAGGGGUCCCACUCCUUGAAUCAGAAUAAAAGUGCUUUGAAAAAGUCCCUUUAAUUAUGUCCAAGUUUGGAUAAAAUUUGUCCAUGCAUGGCAUGCACUCACUGACUGAUCUCGUCGUCCUGAAGGGUAAGAGAGGUAAAUUCCAGAAUAACCCACGAGGCACUGUAUGAAGCCUGUCAAUUACAUCAACUCAUCAAGCUUUCAAUCUUUUCAUGGCAUGCCUAACUUCUGUGAAAUAUGCUCAACAUUUAACAUUUUGUAAACCAAAAAGAGAGUAAGAGAGAGAUGAUUGAAGUAAUAAAGUAAAAGCGAAAUGCAUGCAUUGAUAAAAGGAAAUUUUAACAAAAAAAAUUUCGGUACUGUUUACUUUAACAAAAAAUUAUAUUUUUACAUUAAAAAGUCAAUUCUAAUACUAUUCAUUUUACCCUUUAUUUGUUCUUUAUUGUUAAAAAUCAAAUUUUUCAAUCCAUUUUUAUUAGUUUUCCUUUGAUAAAAGGAGAAAGAUGCAUGGAGAACUGGUUUUUUAUUUUAUUAUUAUUUUUUUUACAAACAAUAAUAUUAGAGUGGAUUAAGUUAUUAGCUGUUAGCGAGAAGAGGAUCAAUAAUAAUCAAACUAGCACCCGGAUGUAUAAGCAUAAUUGUUUUCUAAAAUUGCAAUAAAACGUCACUUUCCAUAUAUAUAUAUAUAAAAAAAAAAAACUUAUUGUUCCUUGUAUGAUGGAUUGCAAUCUCAAUAUCGUUCUUAAUGGAACGGCCACAAUUAGUUGUUCAGGACAUAAACAAUAUGUAUUGUCUUUAUAUUUAGGAAAUUGGCUCUGUUAGCCUUAUUACAAACCCAACAAUUAAAAAUACUCCCAAAUUAUAAUCUCUAUUAGCCCUCUUUUCCUUAAAUACCACUAACUUGAAAGAUGAACUGUUAUUCUAUGUCUCGACGUUGGAUCUCGAUGGCAUCCAAAAGGGCCUCUCAACUCCCUUCCGACUGUAUCUCGACUGAAUCACGACGGCAUCUCAACGGCACAGAACUGAAUUACCCUUAUAUUUAUGAGUUGAUCAGACACUCCAAUUAAAUAAAAAUAACUAUAAUUAUGUCAAAAUUAUUUAGUCAGUCUCACGUAUAUAUAAUUAAUUCAUCAAACACAUAAACAAAAAAGUUCUUGUAUGUAUGCUAUACUUUGAUUUGUCUCAACAAGAAAUGACUCAGUCAUCUUUUUAUCUAUGUCCAUUGAGUUUAUGGAGGGCAACAUAUUGAGAUCUCAAAAAUCUUAUUCUCAUACAACACACUUUUUUUUUUGAACAAACGAUAUUAUCUACACUAAGGGAAAAUGGGUGGCCUAAACCUCACAAUGGGCUAGCAAUAAUGUGGUUCAAAUUCACAUUUGGCGAGAAUCAAACCUAAGACCUCUCACUGACAAGUGAAGAAGAAUAUCACUAGACCGUAGUCCUAAAAAAAAUAUAGAUCUUAUAGUCUUGCAGUGUUUUAGAUUAGCUAAAACGUUGGUAUCCAUAUUAACUUACCAAAAAAAAUAUGUUGAAUUUGCUACACCUGGAAUUUGUAGCAGAUUUGUCAUUUUAUAAAGGGGUUUUUAACUCAUUUAAAAAAAAAGAAGGGGUUUUUAACUUUAAUUCUUAAAAAAAAUUGAAAUUUAAUAAAAAUCGGAUGUUAGAUUACAUAUUAAUUAUUGUCCUUUAAUGUGUUAUUAACUCAAAUUAAUUAAUGUGUAUUUUAUUCAAUAUCUCACAUUAAAUAUUUGAAUUUAUGAAAAUGAAAAUUAUAAUAAAAUAUAAUUAAUAUAUCAAAAUUAGAAAGAAAAAGAGAAAUAAUUAAAACAUCAAAAUAUAAUUAAUAAAUGAAGUAAUUAACAUAUCAAGAGACUAAAAUUAGAUUUUAAUUUUACUCAUGUUUUUAAUUUAAAGUUAUUUUUAUCAAAAAUUAAAAUGAAGUUUCCUAUUUUGUAAAUUACAACGAUGAAAAAUGACGCGUUGCACGUAAGAAACAACAUCUAUAUUUUCUCUUUUGUUUAAUAUGCCAUCAAACAUAUCCAUCACAUUUUAAAUUUUGUGGAAGUCCCUCUCUCACAUUGAUAAAGUCUGGUUUGUGUUGGACAGCUGUCCAACAGACAACCCAAAAAUCUUCCAAAAACCAACAAACAUUUCUGACCAGUCAUGCAUACGUAUGCAUGGACCCAAUGGCAUAUAAUCAAAAAUUUUAAAUAAUGGGAUCGUAAUGUCAACUUAAAAAAAAGUUUCAUUAAGCUAUUUCAUCGAACAUUUAGUAAGCAAUUGUCAAUUCUUGUCAACAAUGCCAAAAGUUUAUGUUAAAAUAUAUCAACUACGAUAAUUUGUAGAGGCUUGUCGAGAGUGAUGUAGGAUACUACGAAGUAAUAUUGAGAACUCUUAAAGCUUUUCAACUAAAGUAUUUUAUAUAAAAAGAGAGAAAAGAAAAACAAAUAUGAUAGAAGAAAAUAGAAGAAGUAAGAAGAUGAGGUUGUAAGUUAGUUUGCUUUAGCUAUUUAUAAUGGUCAAAUAAAAUAUACAAACAAAUAUACAUGAGAUUUUUAAAGUUGUUGAGAUCAAGGAUAAUCAAUGAUCCCAUUCUAGUUUUGCCAUUGCAUGGGCCGGAUAGGGAUAUGGCUAAAAUAUAAUUCUAUUAAUUGCGUUUUGGGACUUUGUCUAACAACUUGGCUCUCUCUUGACUUGGAUGCCAUGGAUGGCUCAUGCAGUUUACUAAAACUAGUAAUGUACAAUUUUCAGAGACUAUUAAUUAUCAUCUAUCAGGAAAAUUUGAUUUCCAUGCUUGCCCUUUCACGUCGGUGACUUGGAGAUAAUAUUGUUUCUUGUCCGGAGAUGAAAUAAAAUAAAAAGACUUGCACGAUCAUACUGCAUUAUAUAUAUUACACUAUAUAGUCUAUGUUGGGAGUUAUAUAUUAGUUAAAGUAUAAAUAGUAGUCUGUUAUCCUAUAUUGAUGAAGUGCAUAUGUAAUACAAAUUGUAAUUCCUAUAUAUACUCCAUUUUGGAGAUUAAUGAAUAUAUGAGAAAUUCUCAAAUAUUAUCAUAUAUAUUUUUGGUAUUUACCAUGUUUAGUUUAAUAUAGCAUCAAAGCAGUUCGCUCUUGGUGACCUGUGUGCUUUAAUUUUGUGCCCCACAUUUGUCAUGAUUUCCUUCGUCUUGAAAAAAAAAAAGGAAAGUAAAUAGUGUUGCACUACAGUACAAACAGUGCGUAAACAGUGGUAUGCUACAGUGUUCAUGAACAAUAUUUUGCUACAGUGCCAUUAACAGUGAUCUACUACAUCACUUGAACAGUGAUGUGCUACAGUAUUAUGGUAAAUUGUUUUCAUUCCGCUGCCUAUCUUUUGUGCCUUUAUUGUUUGUGAUUUAAUUCAAUGGCUCAGUAUAAUCAUAAUGUUGUUAUGCAUCUUGGUGGAACAAAUAAAUGGAUAAUUGAUACUGGGACCACUAAUCAUGUGACUAGUGACCCUAGAAUGUUUGAUGAGUUAUGUGACUAUAUUCUUGAUCCGUAUAUUACUAGUGCAAAUGGAGCACAUUCCCCCGUGAAUGUUGAAGGCAUUAUCUCUCUUACUUCGACCUUAUCACUGGUCCAUACUUUACUUGUUCCUGAUGUUAAGUGCAAUCUUUUGUCGGUAGAAAAACUACUUGAUACUUUAUAUUGUUUUGCUCACUUCUACCCUACGUAUUGUUAUUUUCAAGACAUUCAAACUCAGAAAGUAAUUGGUCAUGGUAAAAGAAUAGAGGGUUGUACAUCUUGACUAUGGAGGAUACUGUUGUUUCCGGUUCAAAUAAUCAUCAAGUUUUAAGUGCUAAAGUGGAUGACAUACAUCAAAUUUGGUUGUGGCAUUGGCGAUUAGGACGUCUAUCAUUCAGUUAUAUGAAGCAUCUAUUUCCUGCUUUGUUUCGCAUUUGUAGUGAUUCAUAAUUCAAGUGUGAAGCAUGUGUCAUGGCUAAGAGUCAUCGUGCUUCCUUUCCCAUAAGUGAUUCUAAAGCUACUUUGCCAUUUGAUUUAAUACAUUCUGAUGUGUGAGGUCCGGCAAAUGUUACUUCUAAUGAAUUUCGUUGGUUUGUUACUUUUAUUGAUGAUUGUACUCGAUUAACUUAGGUGUUAUUGAUGAAGAAUAAGAGUGAUGUUCAUUUGCUUCUUCAAGAAUUUUGUGCAAUGGUGUAUACUCAGUUUCAGACCAAAGUUAAGGUUUUCAGGUUUGAUAAUAGAGGAGAAUAUGUGAAUCACACUUUGACAUGCUUUUUUCGUGAUCAGGGUAUUAUUCACCAGACGACUACUUUGUUUACACCCCAACAAAAUGGUGUGUCAGAACAGAAGAAUCGUCAAAUAAUGGAGGUUGCUCACUCAUUGAUGUUGGAUAAAUGUGUUCCUAAUCAUUUAUGGGGUCAUGUUGUUUUGGCUGUUGUAUAUUUGAUAAAUCGUGUUCUAAGUAGGGUUCUUGAUUUUCAGACACCACUUGAUGUGUUACAAAAGCAUGUUUAUCUUGUUUCUGUAUCAAAACUUCCUCCGAAGGUGUUUGGGUGUAUUGCGUAUGUGUAUGUCUACUCUUAUCAGCGGAGUAAACUUGAUGCAUGUGUUCUUCGAUGUGUAUUUAGUAGGUAUGCUAACAAUCAGAAAGGCUAUAAGUGUUAUCAUCCUCCGACUCAUAAAACUUAUAUUACCAUGGAUGUCACUUUCCACGAGGAAGUUUCGUAUUUUGUGAAGCCAUCUUCCGACUCUCCACUUCAGGGGAAAAAAGGGAGUGAAGUGCAUAUUUGAAGAGAUGGUAUGGAUGAUGUGUUACAGGCAGAGUUGGGGAUAGAACCUAUUAUGUUGCGUGAUACUGAUCAGUCGGUUAUAGAUAGUGAUCUGUCACCUAUUAUUCCUAAAACUAUUUUUACUGACGACAGAUUAGAUGUGCCCAACGAGUUGCUUGUCAGUAUGUCUGACGAAUUACUUUCUGAUGACCGAUUGCUUGCUUCUGGUAUGUCUAACGAGCUGCCUGAUGAUGGUUAGUUCAGUGAUGGUUCAUCCAGUGAUGAUUCUUUUAACAAUUUGGUACAAGAUAAUGACAUACAUGAGUUAAAUUCUGACGAUUCUUCUAUUUAUUAGUUGCCUCCACGAGCUAAUCGUGGAAAACCUAAGGUACAAUAUGAGCCUGAUAUGCAUGCCAAAUCCAAAUAUCCUAUCAACAAUUAUGUGUUUACUCAUCGUUUGUCCAAACCAUUUUCAUCUUACAUAUGUCAGCUAUCUAGUGUAUCAAUUCCAACAAAAUUGCACGAUGCCUUGUCUGACCCUAAGUGGGUUAAUGCCAUGAGAGUUGAGAUGGAAGCCUUGGAAAAGAAUUCUACUUGGGAUUUGGUUCAUUUACCAAAUGGGAAGAAAGCUGUUGGAUGUAGAUAGGUGUUCACUAUUAAGCACAAAGCAGAUGGUUCUAUUGACCGGUAUAAAGCCAUAUUAGUUGCUAAGGAUUAUACUCAAACCUAUAGGGUGGACUAUCAGGAGAUUUUUGUUCUUGUUGCCAAACUUAAUACUGUGUGUGUUCUUCUGUCCUUAGUAGCAAACCAGGAUUGGCCUCUGUUGCAGUUUGAUGUUAAGAAUGAUUUCCUUCAUGGUGAUCUCAAGGAGGAAAUUUAUAUGGAUCUCCCACUUAGUAUUAGAACAUCUCCUGAAAAAUGUGUUGUAUGCAAGUUGCAAAAAGCUUUGUAUAGUUUGAAACAAUCUCUUAGAGUGUGGUUUUGGAGGUUUACAAGUUCAAUGAAGAAGUUUGGGUAUGUCCAGAGUCAUUCAAAUCAUACUUUGUUUCUAAAUUGUUUCUAAAGCCACAAAAUGGUAAGCUAACUGCAUUGAUUAUUUAUGUUGAUGACAUGUUAGUGACUAGUGAUGAUCAAAAGGAGAUACAACGCCUUAAAAAAGUACCUAGCUAGUGAAUUUGAGAUGAAAGAAUUGGGUGAAUUGAAGUAUUUUCUUGGAAUCGAGGUUGCACAAUCCAAGCAUGGUAUUUUUCUGUCUCAACAGAAGUAUGUUCUUGAUUUGUUAGUUGAAACAAAUCUGUUAGAUUGCAAACUUAUUGAUACUCUGAUUGAGCAAAAUCAUCAUCUGGGCUUAUUUCCGAAUCAAGUUCCUACUCAUAAGGAACGGUAUCAGAGGCUUGUGGGGAAAUUAAUUUAUUUGUCUCACACUUGCCCUGACAUUGCUUAUGCAGUUAGUGUAGUAAGUCAGUUUAUGCACUCACCUAGUGAAGCUCAUAUGGAUGAAAUAGUCCGUAUUUUGAGGUGCUUGAAGAUGGCUCCUGGCAGAGGCUUGGUUUUCUCCAAGAAUGGUCAUUUGAAUGUCGAAGGGUAUACAGAUGCAGAUUGGACAAGUUCUAUCACUGAUUGGCGGGUGGUAAUCUAGUUACUUGGAGAAGUAGAAACAAAAAAUGGUGGCUAGGUCAAGUGCUGAAGCUGAGUUUCGUGGUAUGUCUCAUGGUGUAUGUGAGUUGUUGUGGUUAAAAAAAUUGUUGAGAGAUCUUGGAUUUAAACCCAAUGGUGCUAUGAAACUCCAUUGUGAUAACAAGGCUGCUAUUGAGAUUGCUCAUAAUCCAGUGCAACAUAAUCAAACAAAACAUGUGGAGAUUGAUCAACAUUUCAUCAAGGAAAAUUUGGAUGCUGGAAUUAUUAUGUUUCCGUUUGUGAGAUCUGAAGAUCAACUCGCUGAUGUACUUACUAAGACUGUGUCUAAUAGUGUGUUUUCCAACUCGCUUGACAAGUUGGGCAUGCAUGACAUCUUUGCUCCAACUUGAGGGGGAAUUUUACGAGUUAUAUAUAGUUAAAGUGUAAAUAGUAGUCUGUUGUCCUACAUUGAUGAAGUACAUAUGUAAUACUAAUUGUAACUCCUAUAUAUACUCCACUUUGGAGAUUAAUAAAUAUAUAAGAAAUUCCCAAAUAUUGUCAUAUAAAUUUUUGGUAUUUAUCAUGUUUAGUUUAAUAGUCUAAACAUCAGGAAAUACACCAACCCUAAACCUAAUGGAUUUUAUGAAGCCGCUGGUUUGGGUACACAUUAAUCUAACCUAAUUGCUCUACCACAUUCUAAACACAAAAUUUGUUAUAAAUAGGAUGAUUAAAUUUAUUUUCUCAAGCGGUAGAGUAGUGAACCUCACAGCGACGACAAUCUUCCACCCCCAAAUUCGGGUUUUUUUGUACUAAAAUGGUCUUUUAUGUAUAAGAACUUUACGAUAAGUUUAUUAAAAUUGGCUCUGUAUCUACGAAAUCUCAACAUCCAUACGUUACAAAAUGGAUUAGAACUCCUAGGAAAUAAAAUAGAACAUAUGAUGAUCCCUUUAAAGGGCCUUAUAAUGGGGAAGACUUCUCACAGAAUAUAAGAAGACGAAGAGGAAAACUAAAAACUUAGAACUUCAAGGAGAUGGACUGGAGCAGGGAGAAUGGCAAAGAACCGGAACCCAGAAGACCCGCAACGAAAAAGAAAACACUGUACUUUUUUUAGACAUUUUUUCACAUUUCUUCUCGGCCUUACAGCCAAGUAGCAUUUUCCGACCCCAAAUAAAGAUAGAAGGAAAAAACCAAAUUAAGGUAAAUAAAUUUUCUAUAGCAACUUGGCAAACAAAAACAUACUAGAAGAAAACAAGGAAAAUACAAAGAAAUUAAGGAAGUAUGGGAAACAAAAUAAAUUUAAUACGGGACCAACGACAACGGUGCAAAUGUAUAUUGUUCAGGAAAUAAACUUUUAGCGAAAAUGUGCUGCAAAAUUGACCAAUUUUGCUUCAUAUUCACACUCAAUUUUUUUAAGAAUUAAUAUCUGUAGAGUUUAGACCAAAAAUAAAAUAAAAAACAAAACCAAAAUGCUACUCCACUUUCUUGGUACUUAACUCAGCUCUCCACCUCCUUCCAAUCUUACAAGCUUCUAGAUUUAGAUUUGUCUCAAAUCACAUGCCAACUAACCUGCCCAGCUCAAUUUUAUUUUUUCUUUGGAAAUUCCAGUGCGUCUCUACUUUUGUUUUUCUAAAUCUUACUUACUCCCAUUAUAAUUGGAAUUUUAUAUAUUUAUAUGGAUGCUUUGUCAAGAUAUGAGAGAAAUAGUAGUGAUUCAAAAAGAUGAUUAGGAGCCAAAAAUAUUUAUUAUUUUAGAUUGGUGUUUAUGUUUUUGAACAGUUAAAAACUUUUUUGGUCAUUGUGUUUAUGUUUAAAAUUUAUUUUGGUCACUGUAUUUUAUUUUCUGCUAAUUUAGUUACUGUGUUAUCACAAGUUAGCAAUCUUAGUCCUUCUCAAUCAAACGUUAAAAAAAACGCACAUGACAUGCAAGUGCAGGGGUAACUAUGUAAGUGAAAAUAUAUCUUUGCCCCUGCACGAAACUGUCACGUGCAUUUUUUUGGCGGUUGACUUAUGGUAACGCAGUGACCAAUUUGGCAGAAAAUAAAACACAAUGACCAAAAUAAAUUUUAGAAAUACACACAGCGACCAAAAACGUUUUAAUUUAACCCAUUUUUAACAGUCCAGCCAGCUACCAUGAAAGCUACAACAUGAAAGCUGACUGUCAAAAUUUUGUUUAAAAAUUCAUACACAAUAAUCGUCAUAAGAACGUGCAAUAGGUACUUUGAAUUCUUAAAUAUACUGCAUGGUUACCCUUUCCUUUUGUUUUAUACAGAGAAAUCUUGACAGGCAGUCAAAAGCAAAAUUAUGUUCUUCUAGUGAUAUCUGUGUGCUAAAAAGGAAGUACGUAGCUACGUUCAGUCUUCACCUAACACUCCUAUUUGCACCUAAAAGAUGUGGAUAACAAAGAUUUUGACCAAAAUCACAUUGACAAGUACUUGCCAAAGGAUCACGGAACCUAUGAUUGUAAAAGAUAUACGUGUUGGGCCUGACCGACGUUAAUUAGUUGUUCAUAUUGAUUUGAGAAAUUUGAUUGAAUGAGGAUUAACAAAUCACAAUUGCUAAAAUAUUAAAAUGUAUUAACUGCGACAUAUUGGUUAAAUAAUUAUUGCACAUCGAAAAAAUAUUGACGAGUAAUUAUGAAUUUUUAUUUUCAUUAUUUCAAACAUUUUUAUAUUAGAAAAGCUAAAGAAAAUGAUUUAAAAACUUUGAAUUUUAAUGAUACGUACAAAAUGAAAGGUAAAAUAAAUAGUACCAGAAUUAACUUUUUGUUUAAAUUUUAUUUUCUAUUUGGCAUCAACUUUUGGUUUAAAUAUACUAUAUAACCCUCACAAAAGAAAAAGCAUGGUGUACUAGUAGCUAAAAGACAUAAAAAAGGUUAAUCUUAAUUUAUUAUUCUAAAGUUUCUUAGUUUUCAAUAUUUGGUAUAUAAAGUUUUUUUUAUUCUAGAGUUGUACAUAAAGUUAUAAUUUUGGGAUACUUUCAUACAUCCAUUAAGGUUGCUGUUAAAUUUAUCAUUAACUGAUGAUAUGACAUUUAUGUUGACAAUGACACGUAGAUAUUAAAAAUUAAAAAUUAAAUUAAUAAAAUAAUAAAAAUUAAAAAAAAAAAAAAAUUGGGCGUCUUCACCCUCACCCCUUCUGACCCCCCUCCCUUCUCUCCUCUGCACCCACGCUUCCCCCUCCCUCUUCGACUCCACCCAACGCUGCACUCCGAGGAUUGUUGCCAUCCUUUCAAGCCCAAUUUCGCCCCCAAAUAGGCCCGGGCAGUACUUGGCCAUAAACUUCAAGUCGUAGACCCUCUCGAACAAACGACCUGCCAUCUUUGCGAACUCAGUGGGGGAGCUGAGGAUGGUCUUCCUCGUCACCAGCUUCAUUACAUAGGCCGAGUCGUAGAGGCCGUGGAAGCUCACCCAUACGAGCUGCCCCCUGUGCACCCUUAAAAUCUCAACGAAACCCUCCACAAAAAUAUCCGAAUCAAUGCCGAACUUCCCAAAUUUCUCGAGAUCCAAGCCAUUCGCUUUGAGGAGGGCAAUGGAUUCUGGAACAUGGGGGUCGGUUUCCUCGUCAAAACCCCGAAAGUUGAACUCCCAGGUGCCGCCGACGUUGCCGCGGUCGUCGAACAGGGUGAUACCCACUUGGAUGAGAUUGAGAGAAUCGACAUUAAGGGCGAUAUCUUGGUAACGGAGGCCCUUGGAAGUGCCUCUGGGGGUGUUGCGGAGGAACCCCGGAAAUUCGGUGUCGAACGAGACGAUCGGAAAACGGCAGAGACACCGAUCGACGGAGGGAAGGGGAAAGGUGGGUGCAAAGGAGAGAACGGGAGUGGGGUCGGAAGGGGUGAGGAAGAAGAUGCCCAAAUUUUUUUAUUUAUUUAAUUUUUUUAGUUUUUAUUAUUUUAUUUUUUAAUAUGCACGUGUCAUCAUGUCAUUGUCCACGUGGAUAACACAUCAUUAGUUAACAGUAAAUUUAAAGGCAACCUUAAUGAAUGUAUAAAAUUGUUCCAAAAUUAUAACUUUAUGUACCACUCUGAGAUGAAAAAAACUUUAUUUACCAAAUAUUGAAAACAAAAAAACUUUAAGAUAAUAAACUAAUAUUAAUCCUAAAAAACUACUAAAGGAAAGGGUGAAAGAAAAAAUUAUUAGUUUGUGCUGUUCUCAUGGUAAUAGUGGUUUUUGUAUUGUACGAUCAUGUGUUACAUUUUAUGCAUUAUUAUGUGGAUGAAUGAAUAAGUUAAUUACAUCGCAUGUCAUAGGGUGAAUAUUACAUUAAAAAAUUCUUCAUUCUUGUUAUUCGUCAAAUUAAUGGUUGUGCAUUUGUAUGAGGACCUAGAUCUGUUGAGGAUGCAGAUCUUCACUCGUUGAAGGCCAUCCCUAUCUAUCUACUACUACUCUUUGGAAAAUAAUUGACUACAGAUGAUUGUACAAAAAAAUAAUUAAUAUUAUCUGAACAGCUCACCAUGCAUGUUCAGUAAAGUAAAGCGGAUUUGUUUAUUCAUUGUCUAGUUCAAACUUGGGGAGCAUUUUCUCAUUCUUGCGGUGAUCAGAAUAAUGUGAUUUAAGUCCAGUUAAACAUGCUUAAUUAUGCAUUUAAGCAUCUUUUAUUUAUUUGCUUUCAUUAUUUUUUCCUUCUUAAUGUGUUGUUAUUGUUUGGAACAACAAGUAAGACAAAUCUAGCCAGUUAGCAUUCACCGCAUCACCGCAUAAUGAAAGAUUAUUCAUAUUUGGAAAUGAAUAAUUAAUUAAAAAACUGUAUUAUUAAGGCAAAUGGGCACUUAAUAUUUGUAUCUUAAACCUUCCGAGUCGGAUAUUCGAGUAAAUUAGUUAAAAAGCUAUGCAAAAUGUGAAUGUGACAGACUACGUAGUAAAGUUUGGGUUAAGAGAGAGAGAGAGAGAGAGAGAGAGUAUUUCGCAGCCGGCUGGUCCCUAUGUACGGGAAGAAUCAUAGAAAGUUAGGUAACUACACACAUUUUUCAAAGAUGUCGAUCAUGAAAAAUAUUUGAUAACAAAUUCAGGGAGGACAUACUGCUUAAAUUAUUAACCUAGAAAUAAAGUUCGAUCUCUUGCUUUAACUUUUCUGCUACGUAGCUCUUAUUGCAUUAAACAAAGCCUUAUUAAAGUAAAGAUGGUCACACCCUUAGCCCUUUAGGUGAUACGUUCAGGGAAAUGGUUAAUGUUUUUACAAGCUCUUGUUUAUUUUUAUUUUUUAAUAUUUUCAGAUAUUUUUACAAUCUUUUACUGCGCAGUAAUAGAGUGUAAAAAUCAUAUCUAUGUAUUUAUUUAUUAUUAACUAUGUUUACAAUGAACCUUCUAUUCCAUGAAACAAGAUAUAAAAAUAAAAAUAAAAAGGAGAAGGGCAUAAAUUAACAAAAUUCGGUCAAAGGCCGCAUUGGUCCAAACAUUAAUUGAUAAUCUAUGACAAAUAGUCUGGCCCCAUUAGCAUUAUUUUAACAGUAAUAUUGUUUUUUUACUAAGAUAAUUAAUAAUUGCCAAGUGAAAAUUUGGCAUGAGUACCAUUGUGAAGGGUAAAAACCAAAGCUAUAUAAAGGGUGAGGAGGCUUAGCUUCAGAGGCAGACAACCAAAAACCCAUUCUUAACGAAGGAUGGGAAAAAUGGUGCCUUCACAAGUGACCUCUCUUGUGGUCACUCUCCUAGUGGCAAUAGUCUCUCUCACAUUGCCUUCAGAAACUUCAGCUAACUACCCUUACACCUCUCCACCACCACCGGCCUCUCCUCCCUACCAUUACAAGUCACCACCGCCUCCUUCUCCUUCUCCUCCAGUGCACUACUCACCACCUAAGCAUCCCUACCACCCUAAGUCACCACCACCUCCUGUGUACGCACCACCUAAGCAUCCCUACCACCCUAAGUCACCACCACCUCCUGUGUACCCACCACCUAAGCAUCCCUACCACCCCAAGUCACCACCACCAUCACCAAAGCCUUACCACUACAAAUCCCCACCACCACCUCCUGCUCCAGUGCACUCACCACCCCCACCUAAGGAGCCAUACCACUACAAGUCCCCACCACCACCACCCAAGAAGCCCUACCACUACAAAUCUCCCCCACCACCUCCUCCUCCAGUUCACUCACCACCACCACCCAAGGAGCCUUACCACUACAAAUCUCCACCACCACCACCCAAGAAACCUUACUAUUACAAGUCUCCUCCACCACCACCAAAGAAGCCUUACCACUACAUGUCUCCUCCCCCACCGGUGUACUCACCACCUCCACCAGUGCACUCACACCCACCACCAAAAAAGCCUUACCAUUACAAAUCUCCUCCCCCGCCAGAAUAUUCACCAGCUCCACCAGUGCACUCAACCCCACCACCAAAGAAGCCCUACCAUUACAAAUCCCCACCACCACCACCACCACACAAGAAGCCUUAUUACCCUGUUCACUCACCACCUCCACCUAAGAAGCCUUACCACUACAAAUCCCCACCACCACCUUCUCCUACUCCUCCUAAAUACUCACCACCUAAGCACCCCUACCACUACAAGUCUCCACCACCACCACCAAAGAAGCCUUACCAUUACAAGUCCCCACCACCUCCUUCUCCUACUCCCCCUAAAUACUCACCACCUAAGCACCCCUACCACUACAAGUCACCACCACCACCACCCCAAGAAGCCUUACCACUACAAGUCUCCACCACCACCACCUCCUCCAGUUCCCACACCAUCUCCACCCAAGAAACCUUACCACUACAAGUCUCCCCCACCACCCCCUCCAGUCUACAAGUCUCCUCCACCACCAGUUUACUCACCACCACCACCACCUAAGAAACCUUACAAGCCACCAACUCCUCCAGCAGUUCACCCACCACACGGUUACAUCUAUUCCUCACCCCCACCUCCUCACCACUACUAGAUAUUGAAAGUUUAAUUGCAUCAAGCUGGUAAGCUUCUCCAUUCUAUGCUAUUAUUCAUUAAUUAGUUAGUACUACUGUUGUCAAUUUGGAAAUCACCAUAC
rnacentral:lncRNA from 1 species